rnacentral:lncRNA from 1 species
UUUCACUCACAAAAAGGUAGAAAUUGCAAUGCGGCCAUCCCAGCAUAUCAAAACAUUUCUGGUUGUGGCGAUGACCUUUUUUCCCAUAUGAUCCUAGAAAAUGGAUCGGGUUCCACUAUCAAGGGAUAACGAAACAACAAAUGCACAAAAAACAUCCCAGUGCAAGAACAUAGCCUAAAACUGGUUUCAACUGCUAACAACAAAAGCUAAUGGAUCCAAAUCUACUGCAAGUUGACUUGGGGUUCACAAUCAUCCCAAGCAAAAUGUUUUCGAUCACUAGCAUCAUCAUUCAGAAAACUCCAUUGCAUCGUUCCUCGUCCAGUAUUUCUCCAUUAGUUCACCUUCACCCACUUCUUGCUCCUCAUUUUCUCCAGCAUUACUCGCCUCGAUCCUCAACACAAGAUUUCUUGGCUCCGUGCGCCCACCAACAUGAUGUGCCAAUGCUUCUCGCUUCAAAGCAACAACACCUUGUUCCAGAAUCGCACACUCUUCAUUAUUUUGUAGAUUUGCCCAAUAAAGGAUAAACAUGCAUGCAUAACAAACGAAUUCAGCAAGAGAUCUAGUAAUUUUUUUCUCAAAACAAUAUCUAUUACAUAACUUGGAUGGGAAUGUAGUGGCUUAUCGUGAAGGUGAUGCACUCAUGGACUUGUAGUAGAGCUGGUAGCUGCCACAACAGCUUCCCUAUAUGUGGGUGGCCUUGAGGCAGGCGUCGCAGAGGGGCAUCUCUCCUCCAUCUCCUAUUAGGUCACAUCUGUGGAGUCCCUCGGUGUCUACCAUGACGUUGCUAUCAGGUCCCAUGGCUAUGGCUACUUUCAAGUUCCACUCACAGAUUGAUGAUGAGAUCUGAUCUAUUAGAUCCCAAAAUACCUAAAGCAUUAUAUCUCUGUGAGCAUGCAUGCUAAAGGUAGCAGAUCAAACCCAAACAAACAAGUAAAAAAGACCAAGACACUCACCGUCCUCUUGGGGUGGAAAUUGAUGUAGUCAUAGCCACACGACCUGUAAGCAAAUUUGUGGCAGAUGCGCAAGGAAGCCACGGGAGCGACCUGGUCAUCGAUCUAGAAGAGUUGGCCCUCCGUAACACCUGUCUCUUGGUCAUCAUUGAGGCCAGGAAUGGCUGGUUUGUCAUUGCUACCGAUGGUCGCCAAACCAAUGGAUCUAGGAGGUGGCGACGUCAUCAGAGCCAGGGUGGAACGCUUGCCAUUGGUAGUCGUUGUUCACUAACCCGAGGAGUGAAGAUUACUAUACUAUGGGUAACCGGCUGGUCUAGUUGUAUCGACUAUAUAUUGAGUCCUCUCUUAUCGACAUCGAGUCCUCUUGUCCGCCGGAUGCUCUCUCCGGUAUGCUUUUGUAUAGGUGCUAAUUAAUGAAAUUUAUUUGCUACCUUUUAGAUAGGCUUCAGGUGUAAUUGUUAGAGACGCGUAUUUUUUGUGUAUCUGCAUGCUGGAGAGUUGCGGCAAUUGGGUCCACAUUCUAGUCUAUAUGCGUGUGAUGGGCUGCUGCAUGUAGGUAGAUAUGGACUACAAAGUUCUUCUAUCUAUUUAGUGCGAUAUCACUACUAAUUAAUGUUUGAGAUAGAGUAGAUAUCACUACAAAUUAAUGUUUGAGAUAGAUUAGAUCAACUUUUACCACAUCGUGGUCAAUGAUCGUUGACUCGUGAGGGGUCCCUCGCCGCCUUUCUUGGUCAAGGCAUCUCCAACACCGACCCUCAAGCCUCCUGCAUCCGCCCGGACAGUGAAAGCUAUCCAACGUGCUCCUGUAUCGGUACGAGGCGCGGUCCAGAUGUAUACUUUCUCCUGCAAAUGGGAGACAAACGUGGGGAGUGGGAGGGGGGCUUUGCGGGAGUCUGCACCGCUCCCACGCCCGCUUCUGACCACCCUGGCCCGCCCAAACCUCCUUCUGCAUCCCGCGCGCUUCCCGCCCGACGCCAACUGCCCACAUUCACGCCGCUGUAGAGCGCGGCGCCCCACAUAUUGAAGCGGCGCACCCCCCGAUGACGCCGGCCACUGCACGCCCGACUGAACACGUCUCCAUUAAACCCGUGUGAAAGCUGAGGAACCUACUCCAGCCACACGUUCGUUCACGAGCGGGCCGACAUUAAAUGCAACGCCGGGAAAGCUCCUCCCAUGUGCCCUCUAUUUAAACAAGGCCAGACGUCGGGCAAGAAACGCACCACUCCGCCGCUCCCCAUCUCAUCCUUCCACAAUUUUCUUCGCCCUUUUGAUGGCAUCCGGUGAGCACUAAGAGCAUUUCCCCCGCAUAAAAGCCAGCUAGGUGUCCCACCGAGCCCGCCGAAUACGAGUGAUGCCGCUCACUGCUCCACCUCCCUCGUCUGGCCCGACGGAGCAAGUUGCCACCCCAAACUGACGCAUGGUUCACCACCUCGCCGCUCCAAGCCAGCUCACAAGGGAGCGGCCAUUUGCUCUAGGACGACACGACGACAUAGGCAUCGUAGCACCCAUGGUGACGCUGCGUCAUACUGCGUCUCUGAUGCCUAGGACCGUGCCAUCCGCCAGCAACGCGUGUGUAGCCGUGCGCUGCUGGCAGAGAAAGAAGCUGGCAGCAUAGAGAUCGAUGAGUCGGUGGAUGGCACGUCCACGUCCGCCGCCAACAUCGAGGGAAAGUAGAACACGGAGUAUAGCUGAUGACCUGUCCGGUUCUUCUUUAUCUCAGACCAUCAUUGGCCCCGCCUAGGCUCCACGAAAGCGGAGCCCCCCCUUCCCUCCAGCUGAAGCACCCUCUUUGCCACCGCGAUGAGUGGCGCGACCAAACAUAGGGAAGAUACGAGGGAAGAAUAUACCUCUGGGGCUCCCGACAGUCCGGGUAGUGGGCUGCCGGACAUGGAGAAGACAAAGGGAUCCUUCGCGUCCAGCCGUAGACUAGUGUAGUGUUUCUGUGUCGUGGGAGUGGAGCUCCACGCGACUGUAUGUGCACAUAGUUUUAUCUUUUUUGUUAAAAAUAUGUCCAAAUUGUAACUGUUUUCGUCCAGUUUGAAUGAAAUCCAUCAUGUUUAUAUGAAAUCCACCCAUGUUUGCAUGAAUUUCAUCCGGUUUGCUGAAAAAAUGUUUGCAAUGUAUGCGGCUACGAUUGGAUAGCGGCCUCCCGCAUCCGUUUGCUGGCUGCUAUUGGAGAUGCCCUCAAGCCAGCGUUUGGGCGGGUGUAAGGUGUCCCAUCAUCGGUACAGACAAAGUAUUGUAGGAUUUCUGAUCAAUAGAACUGGAAAGUCUCCGGGUGUGGAAACAUCCUCAUAAUCUUUACUACUCCAUCAUGAUUUAUAUGCCUCGCACAUAUUUCAAUAUAAACAUUGAAAAUUAAUUUAUUCAACAAAAUAUUAGUUAUAUGUCACAAAAACAAAACGUUAGAUUCACAUUCUAAACAAGUUUCCAAUGGUAUAGUUUUUGUGACAUAUAACUCAUAUUUUAUUGAUAAAUCAACGUACAUUUUUUUAUUGAAAUGCUUAAGACUUAUGAAUCAUGUUAGAGGUUAGACUCCACGAAUGACGAAAUUUAUCCCCAAGGUAUCUCUGACAAAAUUGUUACUCUAAUGUCACUUAUCAACAUGUGAUCCAAGUCAUAGCAAUAUCCAACCAAUAAUCCAAUGAAUAACGUAAUCAUAUCAUUUCCACUUACUCCGUAAGCAAUAAUAUCAAAUAUGAUCAUAUGAAAAUAUAGCUAAUGACCCUACUAAUCCGAUGGUAACAUGCCAAUAUCCAACUUGUAAACUACUCUACUAGUCACAAGAAAUCCAAGCAAUAACACGGCAAGAGAUAAUUCUAAUAAUUCCUCCAAGAUUGCCAUGAAUAAAUCAUCAUCAAGUAAUUCAAAAUAAAUCGAGUUUUAUUAUAUUAACCAUGGAAUUUCAUUGCAAUUAUGCAAGUGGAGGUUGUGGCUUGCCUUGCUCCAAGCGAGUGUUGCGAGUACUCUUGGUCUUCAUCAAACAGUGCUAACACUCUGGAAAACAAUAUUAACAAGCAAAAUAAAUUCUCUAUCUAGAAAUUCUAGACAACAAAGAAAAGUGUGAAACUCUACCAGAAAAUAAAGGAGCUCACAAGAGAAAAAAAUGCAAAAAGAAUCAACUCAUUUGGACUUGUAGUUUAGGAGCAAUGGAUGGUGAAAGUUGUGGUCAAACUGGAUUAAAAUAGCGUUAAAAUGGAUUUUCUGGAAUCUCCAUGGGCCGACGUCGAAGACUUAAACAAGGAAUACACUUUGACUUAAAUAUUUGGAUAUAUCUUCAAACAUGAUAUUUAAGAAUAGGAGAUUAAAUUGAAGAAGCCAUUGUUAACAAUGACAAAAGCAACAUGUGGGCAUGGAUCAAAACAAGGGAUAUUUACUUUGACAGUCUAAAAUUUGUGAUGUAUCUUGAGUCCAAACUGUAACGACUCUCAUGUUUAACGACGAUUGAGGUGUUUGGAAGUAUUGUUUGAAUACAUCCUCAAACAUAAUAUUUUUUAAAAAUUAAGUGAACAAAACAAAAAAAAUAUUGUGUGGGUUGGGGUGAAGUGUGUGUGGGGGAGGGGGUGGGGGGUGGGGGGGAUUAUUAUCGGAUAGUAUAUUUCACCUAAUUUUGUAACGCAAGCAUCCUGGUCAAUAUGUCCUCAAGAUACAUUCACACCUUUCCCCUCCCGGGCCGCUCGCGCGGGCGGCUCCGGAAGAAAAAACCUAGAUCCAAGCGCCCCUCCUCCCGAAGACAUCCUGGCCGCCGCCGUCGCCGCCGGCGGCGGUGGCGGCGCCCGGCUGCCAAAGGCAGCGGGCAAGAUCUGCACGCCCUGACAUGGCUCCUUCGCGCGGGCGAGCACCGUCUUGUGGGCGUCGUGACCGCUGGCGGUUCUGGUGCGGUGGCGCGCGGCAGAGAGCACUGGAGGAGGAGGAGCACGGUCGCGAGGUGGAGAGGGGUGGCGGUCUUCCUCGGGCGCCGGCGUGUGUGUCGGAGGCCGCGGCGCGGGGUCCCUGGCGGCUGCAGAUCUUGGAAUGGAGUGGUGACCGGGCGCGGCGGCCGGGAGUUGCGGUGGUGUCCGGGGCGUGCGGUGUGCUUCCUGCCGGCGCUAGAGUGGCUCGGGGAAGGCAGCGCCUUGGAUUGCUAGUGGCAGGGAUGUAGCUGGCAUGUAGGCAUUGGGGUCAAUUGACCCCAAUGGAUUUACUAAAUCCUUCAUUAUCUUAGUACUAAUCACUGUUGAUUUAUAGAAGAUGACCCCAUUGCCAUGGAUAUGACCCCAUCAAGCUUUUUUCUAGCUUCGUCCCUGGCUGGUGGUGGCGCGGUCAGGAUCUGGCCAGAGCUCGGUUCAGGAAAUCGCAAAGGGAGCACCUUGGUGGUGCGUGCGUUCGCUGGAGGCGCAGUGCGCUGGCUCCUCCCGUCCGUGCCCCUGGUCGCAGCGGCUUGGCUGGCUGCCAGAGUGGUUUGGCCAGCCCACGCCUGUGGUGCCGGCGGGUCUUGGCAGCGCCAGGGAGGGUGGCUUGGAGCUGGUGACGUUUGUCUUUCGACCGUGCAGGAGCUGGAGGUUGGCCGGCGUGGUCUCGGCUGUGUGAUGGGUCGGUGUUCCGCGACGGUUUUGGCCAUGAUGGCAAGGCGCUGCUGCAACGACGGUGUAACCCUGACAGAUUAGCCCAAUCCUUGGAUAGGGGUGGGAGGUGUGCGACUGUUGGAUGAAAAUCCUGCUCGUGUCUUCGGCCGGAGCUGGCGGCGACGGUGCCUGAGGGAGUCGUUUCCCUCCUUGGAGGUGUCGCUGAGGUGUGUCGGCAUCUCCCCUUCUUGAUCGGGAUGUGGUCUCCAGGCGAAAGCCUUGGUCUAUUGUAGGACUGGCGAUGGCGACGGUAUAACGUCGUUACUCUAUUGAGAGCAUCGUAGGCGGAGACUUGGCUUGCUGAUUCUGUCUGGUGGUUCUCCGGUGCUUGCCGCUGGUUCGAGUCGAUCUUUGUGGGCGCUAUGUACGUAGCCGCCGGUGAACUGAAGACGAUGGCUUUCUCGGGACCGACCGAGUCCCGCUACCCACCCGCCGUCUCCUCUUAGGCAUUCAAAGGUGGUAGUGCGUGUUGGAAAUAUGCCCUAGAGGCAAUAAUAAAAGGGUUAUUAUUAUAUUUCCUUGUUCAUGAUAAUUGUCUUUUAUUCAUGCUAUAACUGUAUUAUCCGGAAAUCGUAAUACACAUGUGAAUACAUAGACCAUAACAUGUCCCUAGUGAGCCUCUAGUUGACUAGCUCGUUGGUCAACAGAUAGUCAUGGUUUCUGACUAUGGACAUUAGAUGUCAUUGACAACGGGAUCACAUCAUUAGGAGAAUGAUGUGAUGGACGAGACCCAAUCCUAAGCAUAGCACAAGAUCGUGUAGUUAGUUUUGCUAGAGCUUUUCCAAUGUCAAGUAUCUCUUCCUUAGACCAUGAGAUCGUGUAACUCCCGGAUACAGUAAGAGUGCUUUGGGUGUACCAAACGUCACAACGUAACUGGGUGACUAUAAAGGUGCACUACAGGUAUCUCCGAAAGUGUCUGUUGGGUUGACAUGGAUCGAGACUGGGAUUUGUCACUCCGUAUGACGGAGAGGUAUCUCUGGGCCCACUCGGUAAUGCAUCAUCACAAUGAGCUCAAAGUGACCAAGUGUUUGGUCACGGGAUCAUGCAUUACGAUACGAGUAAAGUGACUUGCCGGUAACGAGACUGAACGAGGUAUUGGGAUACCGACGAUCGAGUCUCGGGCAUGUAACGUACCGAAUGAGAAAGGGAAUUGUAUACGGGGUUGUUCUAAUCCUCGACAUCGUGGUUCAUCCGAUGAGAUCAUCGAGCAGCAUGUGGGAGCCAACAUGGGUAUCCAGAUCCCGCUGUUGGUUAUUGCCCGAGAGCCGUCUCGGUCAUGACUACGUGUCUCCCGAACCCGUAGGGUCUACACACUUAAGGUUCGGUGACGCUAGGGUUGUAUGAAUAUGAGUAUGCAGUAUACCGAAUGUUGUUUGGAGUCCCGUAUGAGAUCCCGGACGUCACGAGGAGUUUCGGAAUGGUCCGGAGGUAAAGAAUUAUAUAUAGGAAGUGGUAUUUCGGCCAUCGGGAAAGUUUCGGGGUCACCCGGUAUUGUACCGGGACCACCGGAAGGGUCCCGGGGGUCCACCGGGUGGGGCCACCCAUCCCGGAGGGCCCCAUGGGCUGAAGUGGGAGGGGAGCCAGCCCAUAGUGGGCUGGUGCGCCCCCCUAGGCCCACCCCCUGCGCCUAGGGUUGAAACCCUAGGGUGGGGGGCGCACCACAUGCCUUGGGGGGCACUCCUCCCCCCUUGGCCGCCGCCCCCUUGGGAGAUUGAAUCUCCCAGGGCCGGCGCCCCCCCUUGGGGGCCUAUAUAAAGGGAGGGGGGAGAGGGGCAGCCGCACCCUGAAGUCCUGGCGCCCCCUCCCCCUGCUACACCUCUUCCUCCUCCGUCACGUGCUUGGCGAAGCCCUGCCGGACUGCUGCUGUUCCACCACCACCACGCCGUUGUGCUGCUGCUGGAGCCAUCAUCAUCAACCUCUCCUCCCCCCUUGCUGGAUCAAGAAGGAGGAGACGUCACACGCACCGUACGUGUGUUGAACGCGGAGGUGCCGUCCGUUCGGCGCUAGGAUCUCCGGUGAUCUGAAUCACGGCGAGUACGACUCCAUCAUCACCGCUCCCUCUAACACUUCCGUAUGGGAUCUACAAGUGGUAUGUAGAUGCAAACUCACUCCCUUGACUCAUUGCUUAGAUGAACUCAUAGAUGGAUCUUGGUGAAACCGUAGGAAAAUUUUUAAUUUUCUGCAACGUUCCCCAACAGUGGCAUCAUGAGCUAGGUCUAUGCGUAGUUCUCUAUUGCACGAGUAGAACACAAUUUUGUUGUGGGCGUAGAUCUUGUCAACUUGCUUGCCGCUACUAGUCUUAUCUUGCUUUAGCGGUAUUGUGGGAUGAAGCGGCCCGGACCAACCUUACACGUACGCUUACGUGAGACCGGUUCCACCGACUAACAUGCACUAGUUGCAUAAGGUGGCUGGCGGGUGUCUGUCUCUCCCACUUUAGUUGGAGCGGAUUCGAUGAAAAGGGUCCUUAUGAAGGGUAAAUAGAAGUUGACAAAAUCACGUUGUGGUUAUUCGUAGGUAAGAAAACGUUCUUGCUAGAACCCAAUUGCAGCGACGUGAAAGAUGCAACAACAAUUAGAGGACGUCUAACUUGUUUUUGCAGCAAUUGUCAUGUGAUGUGAUAUGGCCAGAAGUUGUGAUGAAUGAUGAAUGAUAUAUUGUGAUGUAUGAGAUCAUGUUCUUGUAAUAGGAAUCACGACUUGCAUGUCGAUGAGUAUGAAAACCGGCAGGAGCCAUAGGAGUUGUCUUUAUUUUUGUAUGACCUGCGUGUCAUUGAAGAAUGCCAUGUAAACUACUUUACUUUAUUGCUAAACGCGUUAGUCAUAGAAGUAGAAGUAGUCGUUGGCGUGACAACUUCAUGAAGACAUGAUGAUGGAGAUCAUGAUGAUGGAGAUCAUGGUGUCAUGCCGGUGACAAGAUGAUCAUGGAGCCCCGAAGAUGAAGAUCAAAGGAGCUAUAUGAUAUUGGCCAUAUCAUGUCACUACUUUAUAUAAUUGCAUGUGAUGUUUAUUAUGUUUUAUGCAUCUUGUUUACUUAGAACGACGGUAGUAAAUAAGAUGAUCCCUUGCAACAAUUUCAAGAAGUGUUCUCCCCUAACUGUGCACCGUUGCUAAAGUUCGUCGUUUCGAAGCACCACGUGAUGAUCGGGUGUGAUAGAUCCUUACGUUCACAUACAACGGGUGUAAGACAGUUUUACACAUGCAAAACACUUAGGGUUAACUUGACGAGCCUAGCAUGUACAGACAUGGCCUCGGAACACGGAGACCGAAAGGUCGAACACGAGUCGUAUGGAAGAUACGAUCAACAUGAGAAUGUUCACUGACGAUGACUAGUCCGUCUCACGUGAUGAUCGGACACGGCCUAGUCAACUCGGAUCGUGUAACACUUAGAUGACUGAGGGGAUGUCAAAUCUGAGUGGGAGUUCAUUAAAUAAUUUGAUUGGAUGAACUUAAUUAUCAUGAACUUAGUCUAAAAUCUUUGCAAAAUAUGUCUUGUAGAUCAAAUGGCCAACGCUCAUGUCAACAUGAACUUCAACGCGUUCCUAGAGAAAACCAAGCUGAAAGAUGAUGGCAGCAACUAUACGGACUGGGUCCGGAACCUUAGGAUCAUCCUCAUAGCUGCCAAGAAAGCAUAUGUCCUUGAAGCACCAUUAGGUGACCCACCUACUCUCCCAGCACUGCAAGACGAUUUGAACGUUUGGCAGACACGUGCUGAUGAUUACUCCCUCGUUCAGUGCGGCAUGCUUUACAGCUUAGAACCGGGGCUCCAAAAGCUUUUUGAGCAACACGGGGCAUAUGAGAUGUUCGAGGAGCUGAAACUAGUUUUCCAAGCUCAUGCCCGGGUCGAGAGAUAUGAAGUCUCCAACAAGUUCUAUAGUUGUAAGAUGGAGGAAAACAGUUCUGUCAGUGAGCAUAUACUCAAAAUGUCUGGGUUGCACAGCCGCCUGUCCCAGCUGGACAUUAACCUCCUGGAUGAGGCGGUCAUUGACAGAAUCCUUCAGUCGCUCCCACCAAGCUACAAGAGCUUUGUGAUGAACUAUAAUAUGCAGGGGAUGGUGAAGACCAUUCCUGAAGUAUUUUCAAUGCUGAAGUCGGCAGAGGUUGAAAUCAAGAAAGAACAUCAAGUGUUGAUGGUUAAUAAGACCACUAAGUUCAAGAAGGGCAAGGGUAAGAAGAACUUCAAGAAGGACGGCAAAGAUGUUGCCGCGCCCGGUAAGCCAGUUGCCGGGAAGAAGUCAAAGAAUGGACCCAAGCCUGAGACUGAGUGCUUUUAUUGCAAGGGGAAGGGUCACUGGAAGCGGAACUGCCCCAAAUACUUAGCGGAUAAGAAGGCCGGCAACAGUAAAGGUAUAUUUGAUAUACAUGUAAUUGAUGUGUACCUUACCAAUACUCGUAGUAACUCCUGGGUAUUUGAUACCGGUGCCGUUGCUCAUAUUUGUAACUCAUAGCAGGAGCUGCGGAAUAAGCGGAGACUGGCGAAGGACGAGGUGACGAUGCGCGUCGGGAAUGGUUCCAAGGUCGAUGUGAUCGCCGUCGGCACACUACCUCUACAUUUACCUACGGGAUUAGUUAUAAACCUUAAUAAUUGUUAUUUGGUGCCAAGUUUGAGCAUGAACAUUGUAUCUGGAUCUCGUUUGAUACGAGAUGGAUACUCAUUUAAAUCCGAGAAUAAUGGUUGUUCUAUUUAUAUGAGAGAUAUGUUUUAUGGUCAUGCCCCUAUGGUCAAUGGUUUAUUCUUAAUGAAUCUCGAGCGUAAUGUUACACAUAUUCAUAGCGUGAAUACCAAAAGAUGUAAAGUUGAUAACGAUAGUCCCACAUACUUGUGGCACUGCCGCCUUGGUCACAUUGGUGUCAAGCGCAUGAAGAAGCUCCAUGCUGAUGGACUUUUGGAGUCUCUCGAUUAUGAAUCAUUUGACACAUGCGAACCAUGCCUCAUGGGCAAAAUGACCAAGACUCCGUUCCCCGGAACAAUGGAGCGAGCAACCAACUUGUUGGAAAUCAUACACACCGAUGUGUGCGGUCCAAUGAGUGUUGAGGCUCGCGGAGGAUAUCGUUAUGUUCUCACUCUCACUGAUGACUUGAGUAGAUAUGGGUAUGUCUACUUGAUGAAACACAAGUCUGAGACCUUUGAAAAGUUCAAGGAAUUUCAGAAUGAAGUAGAGAAUCAACGUGACCGAAAGAUAAAAUUCUUACGAUCGGAUCGUGGAGGAGAAUAUUUAAGUCACGAAUUUGGUACACACUUAAGAAAAUGUGGAAUCGUUUCACAACUCACGCCGCCUAGAACACCUCAGCGAAACGGUGUGUCCGAACGUCGUAAUCGCACUCUAUUGGAUAUGGUGCGGCCUAUGAUGUCUCUUACCGAUUUACCGCUAUCAUUUUGGGGAUACGCUCUAGAGACAGCUACAUUCACUUUAAAUAGGGCACCGUCUAAAUCCGUUGAGACGACACCGUAUGAAUUAUGGUUUGGGAAGAAACCUAAGUUGUCGUUUCUAAAAGUUCGGGGAUGCGAUGCUUAUGUCAAGAAACUUCAACCUGAAAAGCUCGAACCCAAGUCGGAAAAAUGUGUCUUCAUAGGAUACCCUAAAGAAACCAUUGGGUAUACCUUCUACUUAAGAUCCGAGGGCAAGAUCUUUGUUGCCAAGAACGGAUCCUUUCUGGAAAAAGAGUUUCUCUCGAAAGAACUAAGUGGGAGGAAAGUAGAACUCGAUGAAGUACUACCUCUUGAACAGGAUAGUAGUGCAGCUCAGGAAAAUGUUCCUGUGAUGCCUACACCAACUGAAGAGGAAAAUAAUGAUGAUGAUCAAGGUACUUCUGAUCAAGUUACUACUGAACUUCGUAGGUCCACAAGGACACGUUCCGCACCAGAGUGGUACGGCAACCCUGUCCUGGAAAUCAUGUUGUUAGACAACCGUGAACCUUCGAACUAUGAAGAAGCGAUAGCGGGCCCAGAUUCCAACAAAUGGCUUGAAGCCAUGAAAUCCGAGAUAGAAUCCAUGUAUGAAAACAAAGUAUGGACUUUGACUGACUUGCCCGAUGAUCGGCGAGCGAUAGAAAACAAAUGGAUCUUUAAGAAGAAGACGGACGCGGAUGGUAAUGUCACCAUCUAUAAAGCUCGACUUGUCGCUAAGGGUUAUCGGCAAGUUCAAGGGAUUGACUACGAUGAGACUUUCUCUCCCGUAGCGAAGCUUAAGUCCGCCCGAAUCAUGUUAGCAAUUGCCGCAUACUAUGAUUAUGAGAUAUGGCAAAUGGACGUCAAAACGACAUUCCUUAACGGUUAUCUUAAGGAAGAGCUAUAUAUGAUGCAGCCGGAAGGUUUUGUCGAUCCUAAGAACGCUAACAAAGUAUGCAAGCUCCAGCGAUCCAUUUAUGGGCUGGUGCAAGCAUCUCGGAGUUGGAACAUUCGCUUUGAUGAGAUCAUCAAAGCGUUUGGGUUUAUGCAGACUUAUGGAGAAGCCUGCGUUUACAAGAAAGUGAGUGGGAGCUCUGUAGCGUUUCUCAUAUUAUAUGUAGAUGACAUACUUUUGAUGGGAAAUGAUAUAGAUUCUUGGACAGCAUUAAGGCCUACUUGAAUAAGUGUUUUUCAAUGAAGGACCUUGGAGAAGCUGCUUACAUAUUAGGCAUCAAGAUCUAUAGGGAUAGAUCGAGACGCCUCAUAGGUCUUUCACAAAGCACAUACCUUGAUAAGAUUUUGAAUAAGUUCAAAAUGGAUCAGUCCAAGAAAGGGUUCUUGCCUGUAUUGCAAGGUGUGAGAUUGAGCUCGGCUUAAUGCCCGACCAUGGCAAAAGAUAAAGAAGAGAUGAUCGUCAUCCCCUAUGCCUCAGCCAUAGGAUCUAUUAUGUAUGCCAUGCUAUGUACCAGACCUGAUGUAAACCUUGCCGUAAGUUUGGUAGGAAGGUACCAAAGUAAUCCCGGCAAGGAACACUGGACAGCGGUCAAGAAUAUCCUGAAGUACCUGAAAAGGACAAAGGACAUGUUUCUCGUUUAUGGAGGUGAUGAAGAGCUCGUCGUAAAGGGUUACGUCGAUGCUAGCUUCGACACAGAUCUGGAUGACUCUAAGUCACAAACCGAAUACGUGUAUAUGUUGAAUGGUGGAGCAGUAAGCUGGUGCAGCUGCAAGCAGAGCGUCGUGGCGGGAUCUACAUGUGAAGCGGAGUACAUGGCAGCCUCGGAGGCAUCGCAUGAAGCUAUUUGGGUGAAGGAGUUCAUCACCGACCUAGGAGUCAUACCCAAUGCGUCGGGGCCGAUCAAACUCUUCUGUGACAACACUGGAGCUAUUGCCCUUGCCAAGGAGCCCAGGUUUCACAAGAAGACCAGGCACAUCAAGCAUCGUUUCAACUCCAUCUGAGAAAAUGUUCAAGAUGGAGACAUAGAUAUUUGCAAAGUACAUACGGAUCUGAAUGUCGUAGAUCCGUUGACUAAACCUCUCUCGCGAGCAAAACAUGAUCAACACCAGAACUCUAUGGGUGUUCGAUUCAUCACAAUGUAACUAGAUUAUUGACUCUAGUGCAAGUGGGAGACUGUUGGAAAUAUGCCCUAGAGGCAAUAAUAAAAGGGUUAUUAUUAUAUUUCCUUGUUCAUGAUAAUUGUCUUCUAUUCAUGCUAUAAAUGUAUUAUCCGGAAAUCGUAAUACACGUGUGAAUACAUAGACCAUAACAUGUCCCUAGUGAGCCUCUAGUUGACUAGCUCGUUGGUCGACAGAUAGUCAUGGUUUCUGACUAUAGACAUUAGUUGUCAUUGACAACGGGAUCACAUCAUUAGGAGAAUGAUGUGAUGGACGAGACCCAAUCCUAAGCAUAGCACAAGAUCGUGUAGUUCGUUUUGCUAGAGCUUUUCCAAUGUCAAGUAUCUCUUCCUUAGACCAUGAGAUCGUGUAACUCCCGGAUACCGUAAGAGUGCUUUGGGUGUACCAAACGUCACAACGUAACUGGGUGACUAUAAAGGUGCACUACAGGUAUCUCCAAAAGUGUCUGUUGAUGCUAGCUUCGACACAGAUCUGGAUGACUCUAAGUCACAAACCGAAUACGUGUAUAUGUUGAAUGGUGGAGCAGUAAGCUGGUGCAGCUGCAAGCAGAGCGUCGUGGCGGGAUCUACAUGUGAAGCGGAGUACAUGGCAGCCUCGGAGGCAUCGCAUGAAGCUAUUUGGGUGAAGGAGUUCAUCACCGACCUAGGAGUCAUACCCAAUGCGUCAGGGCCGAUCAAACUCUUCUGUGACAACACUGGAGCUAUUGCCCUUGCCAAGGAGCCCAGGUUUCACAAGAAGACCAGGCACAUCAAGCAUCGUUUCAACUCCAUCUGAGAAAAUGUUCAAGAUGGAGACAUAGAUAUUUGCAAAGUACAUACGGAUCUGAAUGUCGUAGAUCCGUUGACUAAACCUCUCUCGCGAGCAAAACAUGAUCAACACCAGAACUCUAUGGGUGUUCGAUUCAUCACAAUGUAACUAGAUUAUUGACUCUAGUGCAAGUGGGAGACUGUUGGAAAUAUGCCCUAGAGGCAAUAAUAAAAGGGUUAUUAUUAUAUUUCCUUGUUCAUGAUAAUUGUCUUCUAUUCAUGCUAUAACUGUAUUAUCCGGAAAUCGUAAUACACGUGUGAAUACAUAGACCAUAACAUGUCCCUAGUGAGCCUCUAGUUGACUAGCUCAUUGGUCGACAGAUAGUCAUGGUUUCUGACUAUAGACAUUAGUUGUCAUUGACAACGGGAUCACAUCAUUAGGAGAAUGAUGUGAUGGACGAGACCCAAUCCUAAGCAUAGCACAAGAUCGUGUAGUUCGUUUUGCUAGAGCUUUUCCAAUGUCAAGUAUCUCUUCCUUAGACCAUGAGAUCGUGUAACUCCCGGAUACCGUAAGAGUGCUUUGGGUGUACCAAACGUCACAACGUAACUGGGUGACUAUAAAGGUGCACUACAGGUAUCUCCGAAAGUGUCUGUUGGGUUGACACGGAUCGAGACUGGGAUUUGUCACUCUGUAUGACGGAGAGGUAUCUCUGGGCCCACUCGGUAAUGCAUCAUCACAAUGAGCUCAAAGUGACCAAGUGUUUGUUCACGGGAUCAUGCAUUACGGUACGAGUAAAGUGACUUGCCGGUAACGAGACUGAACGAGGUAUUGGGAUACCGACGAUCGAGUCUCGGGCAUGUAACGUACCGAAUGACAAAGGGAAUUGUAUACGGGGUUUUUCUAAUCCUUGACAUCGUGGUUCAUCCGAUGAGAUCAUCGAGGAGCAUGUGGGAGAAAACAUGGGUAUCCAGAUCCCGCUGUUGGUUAUUGCCCGAGAGCCGUCUCGGUCAUCACUUCGUGUCUCCCGAACCCGUAGGGUCUACACACUUAAGGUUCGGUGAUGCUAGGGUUGUAUGAAUAUGAGUAUGCAGUAUACCGAAUGUUGUUCGGAGUCCCAGAUGAGAUCCCGGAUGUCACGAGGAGUUUCGGAAUGGUCCGGAGGUAAAGAAUUAUAUAUAGGAAGUGGUAUUUCGGCCAUCGGAAAAGUUUCGGGGUCACCCGGUAUUGUACCGGGACCACCGGAAGGGUCCCGGGGGUCCACCGGGUGGGGCCACCCAUCCUGGAGGGCCCCAUGGGCUGAUGUGGGAGGGGAGCCAGCCCAUAGUGGGCUGGUGCGCCCCCCUAGGCCCAUCCCCUGCGCCUAGGGUUGAAACCCUAGGGUGGGGGGGGGCACCACAUGCCUUGGGGGGCACUCCUCCCCCCUUGGCCGCCGCCCCCUUGGGAGAUUGAAUCUCCCAGGGCCGGCGCCCCCCCUUGGGGGCCUAUAUAAAGGGAGGGGGAGAGGGGCAGCCGCACCCUGAAGUCCUGGCGCCCCCUCCCCCUGCUACACCUCUUCCUCCUCUGUCACGUGCUUGGCGAAGCCCUGCCGGAGUGCUGCUGUUCCACCACCACCACGCCGUUGUGCUGCUGCUGGAGCCAUCAUCAUCAACCUCUCCUCCCCCCUUGCUGGAUCAAGAAGGAGGAGACGUCACACGCACCGUACGUGUGUUGAACGCGAAGGUGCCGUCCGUUCGGCGCUAGGAUCUCCGGUGAUCUGAAUCACGGCGAGUACGACUCCAUCAUCACCGCUCCCUCUAACGCGUCCGUACGCGAUCUACAAGUGGUAUGUAGAUGCAAACUCACUCUCUUGACUCGUUGCUUAGAUGAACUCAUAGAUGGAUCUUGGUGAAACCGUAGGAAAAAUUUUAAUUUUCUGCAACGUUCCCCAACAGUGCGUUGGCAAGGAAAAUCCGGUUGGAGUUGUUGCUUUUCGAGGUGACCGGUGUUUGUGGUGACGUGACUAGAUGAUUGGUUUAGGGCAGACCCUUUUGCUUGUGUUUGUAACUGUCGUGGUGGCUAAUCUGUUGAUUAGCUUCGGUGUGGAGUUGUGCUACACUUGUUGUUCGCAGCAAGAUGUAGUUUCUUGUACUUGAUUUCUGCCUUCUAUAAAAAUAUGGUACGCCUAGGCGUACUCUCGAAAAAAAAUAUGUCCUCAAGAUUAGAUCAAGUUACAUAAUCAUGUUGAAGUUAAAUCAUCUUGUUGAAUUAAAAAAUGAUAAUAUUUUUUGAUGUAUGUUGAAUCAAACCUCACUCAAAACGGUGGAGAACAGUUGAAUUGUUGAGAUAUGUGAAUAAUUAUUCCAACUAUAUUUGAAAAUCCAGCAAAUAAUAUGGAGCACUGGUAGAAAAAGAGGCUUCCGUCUAGCCCCAUUAGUCGCGAAACUGUAGGAACCGCGACUAAUGAAGUCUUUAGUCGCGGUUCGGCAGACGAACCGCGACCAAAGUCUUGGGCCAGGGCGCUCGGUGGCCAGCUGGUGCACGUGAGGGGCUUUAGUCGCGGUUGGGCAGGCCAACCGCGACUAAAGGUGCCCAAAGGCCUUUAGUCGCGGUUGGCCUGGCCAACCGCGACUAAAGCUCCUCCCCUAUAUAUACCAGUUCAGCGCACUCACUUAGCCAUUUGGUGCCACUUCUCUUCACAAGGGGGUGUAGGUUUGCUUUUGGUUCCUCUUAUGCACACAAGGUGUUUGAUGAAAUGCCCAACAGCGUGAAACAAACAUGAUAUGAAGUGUUGGAGCCACACUUGAGGUUCCUCCUCGAUCGCGGUUAGCAACUUGAACCUUUCAUGCAUGUGUGUCAUUGAUAAAAUAUGCAUGUGUGUUGUUCAUUGUUUAAUUUCUAUUGUUUAUAGCUAGUUACUUUAACAAAUGCAUGAUGGUUAAUUAUAUAUUUUAUAUUAUAAUAAUGCAGAUGAAUCGGCAAUGGAUGUACGGUAACCGACUCUCCCGCGAGUUCACUACGGGUUUGAAAGAUUUCCUCGUAGUGGCUAAUGCGAACAAGCAGAAGGGUUUUGUUAUCUGUCCUUGUGUUGACUGUAAGAAUCAGAAGGGUUACUCUUCCUCAAGAGAAGUUCACCUGCACCUGCUUCGGCACGGUUUCAUGCCAAGCUAUAAUUGUUGGACCAAGCAUGGAGAAAGAGGGGUUAUAAUGGAAGAAGAUGAAGAAGGGGAUGAUUUCAUCGAUGAAAGCUAUCUUGCUCAUUUCGGUGAUACUUUCAUGGAGGAUGCUGAAGGUGAAGGGGAAGGUGAAGGGGCAGGUGAAGGGGAAGGUGAAGGGGAAGGUGAAGGUGAAGGUGAAGAAGAGGCACGUGAUGAGACCGUUGAUGAUCUUGGUCGGACCAUUGCUGAUGCACGGAGACGCUGCGAAACUGAAAAGGAGAGGGAGAAUUUGGAUCGCAUGUUAGAGGAUCACAGAAAGUCGUUGUACCCUGGAUGCGAUGAUGGUCUGAAAAAGCUGGGCUGCACACUGGAUUUGCUGAAAUGGAAGGCACAGGCAGGUGUAGCUGACUCGGCAUUUGAAAACUUGCUGAAAAUGUUGAAGAAUAUGUUUCCAAAGAAUAACGAGUUGCCCGCCAGUAUGUACGAAGCAAAGAAGGUUGUCUGCCCUCUAGGUUUAGAGGUUUUGAAGAUACAUGCAUGCAUCAACGACUGCAUCCUCUACCCGCGGUGAAUACGAGAAUUUGAAUGAAUGCCCGGUAUGCACUGCAUUGCGUUAUAAGAUCAGAGGCGAUGACCCUGGUGACGAUGUUGAGGGCGGGAAACCCAGGAAGAGGGUUCCCGCCAAGGUGAUGUGGUAUACUCCUAUAAUACCACGGUUGAAACGUCUGUUCAGGAACAAAGAGCAUGCCAAGUUGUUGCGAUGGCACAAAGAGGACCGUAAGUCGGACGGGGAGUUGAGACACACCGCAGAUGGAACGCAAUGGAGAAAGAUCGACAGAGAGUUCAAAGAUUUUGCAGCUGACGCAAGGAACAUAAGAUUUGGUCUAAGUACAGAUGGCAUGAAUCCUUUUGGCGAGCAGAGCUCCAGCCAUAGCACCUGGCCCGUGACUCUAUGCAUCUACAACCUUCCUCCUUGGUUGUGCAUGAAGCAGAAGUUCAUUAUGAUGCCAGUGCUCAUCCAAGGUCCGAAGCAACCCGGCAACGACAUCGAUGUGUACCUAAGGCCAUUAGUUGAUGAACUUUUACAGCUGUGUGGCAGACCUGGUGUUCGUGUGUGGGAUGAGCACAAAAAAGAGGAAUUUAACCUACGAGCGUUGCUUUUCGUAACCAUCAAUGAUUGGCCUGCUCUUAGUAACCUUUCGGGACUGUCAAAUAAGGGAUACAAUGCAUGCACGCACUGCUUACAUGAGACUGAAAGUGUACAUUUGCCAAAUUGUAAGAAGAACGUGUACCUUGGGCAUCGUCGAUUUCUUCCGAAAAUUCAUCCAGUAAGAAAGAAAGGCAAGCAUUACAACGGCAAGGCAGAUCACCGGCCGAAGCCUGCGGAACGCACUGGUGCUGAGGUAUUUGAUAUGGUCAAGGAUUUGAAAGUCAUCUUUGGAAAGGGUCCUGGCGGACAAUCAGUUCCGAAGGGAGCUGACGGGCACGCAGCCAUGUGGAAGAAGAAAUCUAUAUUCUGGGAGCUAGAAUAUUGGAAAGUCCUAGAAGUCUGCUCUGCAAUCGACGUGAUGCACGUUACGAAGAAUAUUUGCGUGAACCUCCUAAGCUUCUUGGGCGUGUAUGGGAAGACAAAUGAUACAAAGGAAGCACGGCAGGACCAGCAAUGUUUGAAAGACCCUGAUGACCAGCAUCCGGAAUGGUUUCAAGGUCGUGCCAGCUACGCUCUGACCAAAGAAGAGAAGGUCAUCUUUUUUGAAUGCCUGAGCAGUAUGAAGGUCCCGUCUGGAUUCUCGUCCAAUAUAAAGGGAAUAAUAAACAUGGCGGAGAAAAGUUCCAAAACCUGAAGUCUCACGACUGCCACGUGAUUAUGACGCAAUUGCUUCCGAUUGCUUUGAGGGGGCUCCUGCCGGAAAAUGUUCGAGUAGACAUUGUGAAGCUAUGUGCAUUCCUCAAUGCAAUCUCUCAGAAGGUAAUCAAUCCAGAAGAUCUACCACGGUUACAGAACGAUGUGAUCCAAUGUCUUGUCAGUUUCGAGUUGGUGUUCCCGCCAUCCUUCUUCAAUAUUAUGACGCACCUCUUGGUUCACCUAGUCGAAGAGAUUUUCAUUCUCGGUCCUGUAUUUCUACACAAUAUGUUCCCAUUCGAGAGGUUCAUGGGAGUAUUAAAGAAAUAUGUUCGUAACCGUGCUAGGCCAGAAGGAAGCAUCGCCAAGGGCUAUGGAAAUGAGGAGGUAAUUGAGUUUUGUGUUGACUUUGUUCCUGACCUUAAGCCGAUUGGUCUUCCUCGAUCGCGGCACGAGGGGAGACUAAGUGGAAAAGGCACGAUCGGAAGGAAAUCAACGACAUGUAUGGACGGCCAUUCUCUGACUGAAGCACACCACACUGUACUGACCAAUUCCAGCUUGGUGGCUCCGUACUUUGAGAAACACAAGAAUAUUUUACGCUCGGACAACCCGGGGAAGCCUGAAUCCUGGAUUAGGAAGGCCCACAUGGAGACUUUCGGCAGUUGGUUGAGAAAACAUUUAAUGAAUGACAAUGAUGUUGUAGAUCAGCUGUACAUGUUGGCCAAGACACCAUCUUCGACUAUAACGACUUUCCAAGGGUACGAGAUAAAUGGGAAUACAUUUUACACGAUCGCCNNNNNNNNNNNNNNNNNNNNNNNNNNNNNNNNNNNNNNNNNNNNNNNNNNNNNNNNNNNNNNNNNNNNNNNNNNNNNNNNNNNNNNNNNNNNNNNNNNNNNNNNNNNNNNNNNNNNNNNNNNNNNNNNNNNNNNNNNNNNNNNNNNNNNNNNNNNNNNNNNNNNNNNNNNNNNNNNNNNNNNNNNNNNNNNNNNNNNNNNNNNNNNNNNNNNNNNNNNNNNNNNNNNNNNNNNNNNNNNNNNNNNNNNNNNNNNNNNNNNNNNNNNNNNNNNNNNNNNNNNNNNNNNNNNNNNNNNNNNNNNNNNNNNNNNNNNNNNNNNNNNNNNNNNNNNNNNNNNNNNNNNNNNNNNNNNNNNNNNNNNNNNNNNNNNNNNNNNNNNNNNNNNNNNNNNNNNNNNNNNNNNNNNNNNNNNNNNNNNNNNNNNNNNNNNNNNNNNNNNNNNNNNNNNNNNNNNNNNNNNNNNNNNNNNNNNNNNNNNNNNNNNNNNNNNNNNNNNNNNNNNNNNNNNNNNNNNNNNNNNNNNNNNNNNNNNNNNNNNNNNNNNNNNNNNNNNNNNNNNNNNNNNNNNNNNNNNNNNNNNNNNNNNNNNNNNNNNNNNNNNNNNNNNNNNNNNNNNNNNNNNNNNNNNNNNNNNNNNNNNNNNNNNNNNNNNNNNNNNNNNNNNNNNNNNNNNNNNNNNNNNNNNNNNNNNNNNNNNNNNNNNNNNNNNNNNNNNNNNNNNNNNNNNNNNNNNNNNNNNNNNNNNNNNNNNNNNNNNNNNNNNNNNNNNNNNNNNNNNNNNNNNNNNNNNNNNNNNNNNNNNNNNNNNNNNNNNNNNNNNNNNNNNNNNNNNNNNNNNNNNNNNNNNNNNNNNNNNNNNNNNNNNNNNNNNNNNNNNNNNNNNNNNNNNNNNNNNNNNNNNNNNNNNNNNNNNNNNNNNNNNNNNNNNNNNNNNNNNNNNNNNNNNNNNNNNNNNNNNNNNNNNNNNNNNNNNNNNNNNNNNNNNNNNNNNNNNNNNNNNNNNNNNNNNNNNNNNNNNNNNNNNNNNNNNNNNNNNNNNNNNNNNNNNNNNNNNNNNNNNNNNNNNNNNNNNNNNNNNNNNNNNNNNNNNNNNNNNNNNNNNNNNNNNNNNNNNNNNNNNNNNNNNNNNNNNNNNNNNNNNNNNNNNNNNNNNNNNNNNNNNNNNNNNNNNNNNNNNNNNNNNNNNNNNNNNNNNNNNNNNNNNNNNNNNNNNAAAUAACUUAAAACUUGAUAAUUAACAAAAAAACCGUAAAAUUUGAUAAUUAACAAAAAAAACGUAUAUACGGAGAGGGGGCGGCGAGGGGGGCGGCGAUGCGCGCGGUGUUUUUUUAGGGAUCGAGAGGGGACGGCGAGGGUUAUAAAUGUGUUGUCCUCGCCUCCCUCUCCGUGACGCCGUCGUCUGCCUCCCCGUCUCGCGCUCUACCGCGACACCCUCUCCCACCCCUUCCUCGCCCCCUCCUUUUGCCACUGCCCUUUCGCCACCGCCACCGCCACCGCCCCCCUUCUUCACUUAAUUAAUUUGUUUUUACUACAUGUUUUCAGGACUGACAUAAUGGCGGACGAUAGAGCUGACCCGAUUAUGGACAACUAUGAUCCGGACGGUGAAGCACAUAUGUUCGGCAUCAUAAACGGCGAUAUUCUAUAUGUGCCGACCGGACAAGAAGAAGAUGAUAUCUCUUCUUAUCUGAACCUUGACGGUGAAGAUGAAGGGCGCCGUCAGCAAGAUGAUGCCGAACAAACGUCGAUAAACGACGAUCUUCAAAUGGAAGUAGCAACCACCUCCGGCGCCGAGGUAUAUAUAUAUACAUUGAGCCUCUGGUGAUACAAACUAACUGAUUUGAAUAAAUAUGUUUGGACUAACGCGCGCGACUCUCUUUCUUAUUUUAGCCCUCGGCCGGAUCGUCGAAACAAUCGAGUACGUCGUCAAAGCGUGGCGCAACCAAGACGAUGAAACAAGGAGAAACAUGCACCAUCGAGGUUGUCGACAGUGCAACCGGCAGGCCGCUGGAGCCCCGCAAGAACGCCACCAAGUUUGUCAACCAAUGCGGAGCCAUUGUUAGAGACAACGUCUCGAUCACCGUCCAGGAGUGGAAUAAGCCAAAGAAGGCACGAAUUGCUGGUUUCACUUUCGUCGAUAAGAGAACAAAAAGAGAUUGCUUCAAAAAGCUUAUGGAACAUUUCGUUCUACCUCCGGAAUACAACAAAUUCGAUGAGGAGGGUAACAAGAUUGAGGAAAACAAGGAGAGGAGGAGGCUAGUCAAACAGUUCGCUCUUCAUAAGAUGGCCGACGCAUUCCGGAAAUUCAAGCAAAAUCUAGCCCAUGACUUUGUCAAGCAGAACAAGACUCCGGAUUUCAAAGGACAAUAUGAGAAACUGAAACAUGAUUGCCCAGAAUUUGUGAAGCAAAAGAAAUCGGAGCAGUUCAUUCAAAUAUCGAAAAAAAUAAGGAAAAUGCGGCUAAGAAGGAGUACAAUCAUAUUAUGGGGCCAGGAGGGUAUCGCCUUUGGGAGCCUAGGUGGGAGAAGAUGGAGAACGAGCUGAGAGCGCGAGGAAUCCGUCCAGGUACGGAGGGAUGGGACCCAAGGGCCAAAAGCUGGUGGUACGGGCAUGGGGGAACGCUGAACCCGGAGACAGGGGACUGUGUUUACCGGGGCAAAAUAAUUAAACCCACCCAAGCCCUUAUUGACGCAAUGAGGGAUGCUCAAGAGGGGAAGAUCAAGUUCAACAGAGAGAACGACGCACUGACAAAAGCCCUCGGGAAUCCUGAACACGGAGGACGUGUACGAGGCAUGGGGCACAUUCCGUGGAAAAUAGGGUUCCCCCAGAAUGAUGACCCGUACGGUUACAGAAGCCGGAAGAGAAAGAUGGAUCGGGAAGCAGAUGUUGUGGCGCGGUUGGCAUCGGAAAUGGAUGUGAUGAAGAAAACCGUGAGUGUACUAGUAGCCGAACGAGAUGCAGCUCGGGCGCAGCAUGAAGAUCAUCCAGCGGAUCUCAGAAGCCAGCAGCGGAGAAGCAGUGUGGCUUCCACGGAGGCCCCACCGGCUGGUGCAGAUGCACCGACGAUCGAAAUUACUGCACCUGAGCCUCUGGUGGUCGAAAUUACUGCACCGGAGCCUCUGGUGGUCGAAAUUACUGCACCGGAGCCUCCUCGCUACCCCGUGGAUGAUAUAAAGGAGAUGAAAGAAUGUCAUCUGUAUUAUCCUAUCGGGAACAUGUCCGUGAAGGUAGCCAUCGGCAGUGCUUUACCAUGUUUACCUGGAGCACUCCACCACAACACCCCCAUUCAAGAUGGCUAUGCUCGUGUCACGGUGGAGGACAUAGUCCAAGGGUUUGAGGACCUGGAGAUUGACAUUGCUACACCUGAAGGGGAGAAAAGACUUGGAGAUGUCAAGCGCCAUUUCAUUCUAUGGCAAAAGAAGUUUAUCAAGUUUCCAGGCGAGGCGCCAAGGACAACAAGUCCACCCCCCUACGGUGGUGGCGGUUCACCUACACCUCCGUCACGUCAGCCGACGCCCCCCAGUCCACAACGUCCGGCGGGUGAUCAGACGCCGCCCCCCAGUCCUCGUCCGGCGGGUGAUCAGACGCCGCCCCCCAAUCCACCUCCGGCAAAGAAGCAGAAGCAGUCCUGGAUUAUUUACCCGGACCCUUAUGUACCUAAGACCACAAAGGUACCGGAGCCAUCAUUGAAGCCUCUCCCCACAAGGCCUUGGGAACGUAGUGCCGAGGAAACUGCCGCGGCCGCGGCUGCUGAUCAUGAGAAAUGGAAGGCGGACUGCAAGAAGAAAAGAGAGCCCGAGCCCAAGCCAGUAUUUUCUGAUGAGCAAAAGAAGUGGGCUAAGUCAUUUUUGAGCACACCGUCCCAAGCCGCGAAGAAUCUGCCUGACGACUAUGCACGUGAACUUCGUAGGCAGGCACUCAUGUUGAAGGAGAAGAAAGAGCGGGCGGAGAACCAGGAGAACAAAGCCUUGGAGGAGGCCGAGAAAACGGAAUUAGAAAGUAAAAAAAGCGGGAAACGAGUUGCCCAGCUCGGGGAACAAAGUAAACAAUCGAUUGCCCCGCUUAUAGUGAAAGCCGCCGGUCCGGAUGACCCCGAUAUCAUAGCAGCUGCGGCAGCACAUGGAUUGACUGUAACGAGUGCCAGAGAACAAGCGGCCAACUUAGGUAUUACUCUUCGUGAACUGUUAGGCCUUGAUGAGGCACCAGUGAAGGAGGUAGUAAUUACAUAUGUGAAAAAUGGGCCUCUCGUCGAGCCUGCGCAGGAACAGGAUCUACCUCCACAAAUGAAAGGUCUGCUGAAAUGGUACAAGGGUUACAUAAAAAAUAAAAACGCCAAAGAAUAUAUUUAUGCGGAAGUUAGAUAUGAGCAUCACUUCAAACAUUACUAUGUACAAAUUCAUCUGAGUGAAUUGUUCCAGCUUUUCAAUCUGCGCGAGCUCGACAAAUCUAUCAUCAGUUGCUACGUUCUGUAAGUGAUUUAUUUCUACCCCAUCUCGUUCAUAUUGCCUGCACUAUAUAUAUGUCCUAACUAUAUUGUUGUGUCCGCUAUUAUACAUGCAGAAUGAAGAUUAAGGAAUGCAGAGUAAGGAACAUCCAUAAUGUUGGGUUCAUUGACCCACACAUCGUUAAUGGAUAUGUGUUGGAGCAUCACCCCGCCGACAUGGAGGCAGACCUGUGGCAGUUUCUUACAAAGCAGGAACUCAAAAGUGAUAUUCUAUUUCCUUACCAUUUUGGGUGAGUGUUUCUGUCUUGAGCACAUUCUCUUUUGUUUACUCCAUGCAUGGUAUGUGGCCGGCUAAUCGAUGAGUUAUGCAUGACGUACUGUGCAUGUAUCGUGUCCGCAGGUUCCACUGGAUUCUGCUAGUAAUUAAAGUUGACACCUCAGAAUGUCUCGUCCACGACUCUCUGAAUAAGGAUCCAAAGCUUUGGGUCGACAUGAGAAGAAUGCUGCAGAAAUAAUUAUUUUCAUUCAUUUGCGCUCUAUAUCGAUCGGCCUAUUUCGUUCAUUUCCUAAUAUCAAGUAACUAAUAACUCUCUUGUUCAUUUAAUUUUCUUUGCCUCGUAGGGUUUGGAGACGGUUCGUAGAUACAAAGGUCGGUGAAUUCAAAAAAGAGCUAGAAUUCAAAAGGGCAAAGGCUAAGAAUGGUGAGGAUAUUCAGCCAGCGGGGACCAAUCUAUGUGCAUACUAUGUCUGUGAGAUGAUCCGGAGAUACACCUCUGAGCGGGUUCCGAGUGAUACCAAUGCUCAGAGGAAUAACCUCCGGAUGAUGCUUAGUCCAGAAGCUCGCUUCCGACCACUUCAAGAGGAACUUGCUGGAUGGUUCAGGAGGGAAGUCCUCCAUCCUAAAGGAGAACACCAUUACGAGGACGUAGAACUUUAUAUGCAUUAAAUUAUGUAUGGAAACUUGUUCAAAAUUGUAUAUGGUCAUCCGAUGAUAUUGAAUAUAUAUUGUAUAUUCCUCUUGAAUUCUUUUUGGUUCUAAUUUCAAAUUUGUUUGAAAUUGUACAUUCAUAUGCAUGUAUGUAGUACCGUAGAAUAUGUGAAACUCCUUCAAAAUUAAAAUAAAGCACAAAAGAAAUAAAACAAUACAUAUUAAACAGAAAACAGGUUUAAGGGGGGAGGGGGGGCUAAAACCCUAAACCUGCGGCGGCCUUUAGUCGCGGUUGGCCAGAAGAACCACGACUAAAGGUCCUCCGCCCCGACGGCCACCUGGCGCCCACGUGGACGGGCCUUUAGUCGCGGUUCUUAAGCAACCGCGACUAAAGGGUGGGGCCUUUAGUCGCGCCCGUUCGGUCGCGGUUGCGCAACCGCGACUAAUGGCAGUUGCGAACCGCGACCAAAGGCCCUUUUCCCACCAGUGGAGUGAAAAUAAGAAAAAAACAAAUGGGAAAAACCAAAUGUGGCCAUGGAAAAAAAAACUGGCGCUCUAACAAAUGACGAGAUAAGGGAGGCAGAAGAAAAACCAAAUGUGGAUCGAACACGCGACCUUCAGAUCUUCAGUCUGACGCUCUCCCAAGUGAACUAUCCCCGCUUGAUGUUAUUUCAGUUAGUUCCAAUUCUCUUUUUUUGAUUUCUGACUCACUUCAUAUUUGACUCUACACUAACGCUCUUCAAACUAACAUAAGGCCUCAGAAUCUCCACGUAGCAGCGAUCAGUAAAUGUAUUAUAUUACGCAUCUCGUACAACCGUAGCAUAGACUUCUCAACAUAUUUUUAUACGUACUUGAUGAUGUUCUUUCUUUACAUGGAAGAAGGAAAUCCAUGAUCUAUGGAACAAUCCAUGAUCUAUGGAUCACCAGCGGCAGUGCCGCGCAGCACGGAUGGAGAUGGAGGUCCAAGCUCUUAUUGGCGGCGCAGUGGUAGUACAGUGUGAGCACCAUCCCGCCACAGCUGCCGCAUGUCUUGCCACUGCAGCGCGGGUGCUCGUGGCAGAGCUGGAACUCCUUGCCCUUGAACAAUGGGUGCACCAGCAUGCCCUCUGCGAGGGCACAGUCAUUGUGGAGGUCGGAGUCACAGGGUUGGCACGUGUACAUGUCCCCGGCGCCUAGAUCCAUGCAGACGUUGCACUGGAACUCCGCGGCGCCGGUGGCCAUCAGCGCUCCCGGCGGGCGGGGUGGGACGUGGGAGAUUUCCGCAGGAUGUGGCAAGGUUGUCAAAAAACGGUAUUUUCCUUUUUCGGAGGCGGACGUUUUAAAUUGGAUGUAUAUACUACUGGAAUUAUGAUGUACACCGGGUGUCAUGUUCUUCGCCGAGUACCAAAACACGGACACUCGACAAAGAAAAUAACAACGAGAGUCACUUUUGGCAAACCUAGCUUUACGACAAACUGCCUUCUUUGCCGUCACUGCCUCGCGGCAAAGAGGCACCGCACGGCAAACCCUACAGACGUCGAGAGCUGCUCACGACAAAGAGGAGCCACGUGACAUGCCCGUCCGAAACACGACUCCGUCGGUUACUGUGUAUAUCACCGAGAGCGACACUCGGCAAACUAUAUGCCACAUCCUAUUUUCUUUUUUGAGUGUGUUCUUUCUAACUGACAUGUGAUCCCACUGGUCACAUUUAUCAAUAAAAGUUUCAAAUAAUUUGCUAAAUAUUUUUGAACAAAAAUGACGAUAUCUUUCCCGAGAGCUGCUCUCAGCAAUUCUCCUGACCAGUAAGAUAGCGUGGCCACAUGGCAGCUGACAGUUUACAUAUCUUUGUCGAGAGUUGGUCUCGGCAAUGCUCGCCAUCUUUUUCGAGAGCUGCUCUCGGAAAAGGUAUGGCACAACAGUAGUGUCUCCCAGACGACCAAUUUUCUGAGAGGAGCUCUCGGUAGUAUAUCGUUUUCCGAGUGUAGCUCUUGGAAAUCUUUCCCAUCCAUUCUACUGUUAAGCUAUUUCUUUUCUGAUCCCUGCAGAUGAAAACAACUACAGUGCAAUUUGGAGUAGUCCACACAUAUAUAGGCAUAAUUUGAUCUACUCCAUAUAUAUAUACAUACAUAUAUAUAUAUAUAAUUAGGGAUAGUCCACAUAUUAUCACACACAAAUCGAAUGUAGUAUCCUAGUAGAUGUCACACACAAGUCGUAAAUUUAUAUAUAUUGUCACUACUUGCAAAACAUGUGCACGUUACAAUAGAAGUACACUUAUUCAUAUAUAGAUCAGCUUGAGGAGGAGAGGCCAUCGGGUUAACAUUCCAGAGGAGGAGGGGCAUCACUUGCACUGCUUCGAGAUUGCAUAAGAACCUAUAAGAGUAGAGUCACGUGAGGAUGGUUCGUCCCUAUGUAAUGAAUCUUCUACUCUAGUUUAGAUAAUGUUCUACCUGUAGUUGAUUCUCAAGUAGCUUCAACCUAUUGUUAGUGUCUUCUCGUUCCUUUUCUUUGGACUCCUCAGCCUUCCGCCUUUGCUCCUCUUCAACAGCCUGCUGCUUCAUUAAAUUCUGUAACAUGGCAUUAGGCUCAUAUAGGUUGGACCGGUGCUAUUUCGAGGCAUGGACAUAAAUGAAAGGUUAGAAUGCUAACCUUGAGACUUGUGGUGCAUCUAUCUCGCAGCGCCGUGAAUGAUGUGAUCUUCAGUGACGUGGAGGUUUCAGGAGGUAUUGCUGUCUACACCUACAAAGAAGAGAAUGUUGACAGAUUUUGCCGUGUAACCGUGCCACUGUUCAACUCUGAAUAUAGUAUGUUGUCUGAACAAGUUAGCAGGAGCAUAGUCUGCACCAGAGGAUUUGGCAAAUAACUUCAGAAUUUUUAAUUGAACAUGGAUAUAUUAUUCUUGGAAGGAAAGUCUACACCAGUAGAUAUUGUGAUCUUCAAGGAUAACCCAACAUUUUAGGUGCUCUACAAGGAAUGGAUAUGAGAACGUUGCAGCGUCACAAUAGUCAAGAACCUCCACAGAAGGGUUCCAAUACUCAAGGUUUAUUUCUAGUGCUUCUUUUUUCCAGUGUAAAGAAGGGAGUAACCACAGUUUCCCCAAUUGUUGAAUCACAGAUGUAUCACCACAUAAACAGAGCAUAUGACAAGUUCAAAAUUCGAGUGCAAAACAUAUGUUCUUGUGCAACACAAAACGUCCGAAGUUUAAGCGCACAAACAUCGGCAACUCGAUUGCAACUACUUUCACUGAAUAAUGUAUCUCUCAUAACAGUAAAAAAACUAUUUCCUAGCCCAAAAAGAUGUUUUCUCGGAUCACAAUCGAUACCCCUACUUUAUGGCUGAAAACCCUUCUUUAUCACCCAAAACCCUAGCUUUAUUACGCCGCCCAAACUUACCAAACCCUGUUCUGACUUGAAUCCGACCGAUCAUCACAACAUUACAUCCCACCGGUGAUUUCCGCGGUGGUGCAGAAGAAUAGAGGCGGAGGGGAUUUCGAGAACUUGUCAUAAUCCGGAGGGAAGAUCCUGUGCGGGCGGACAAGAUGCACGGAGACGGCGGCUCCAUACCGCUGCUGAUCACCGAUGACGUCGCCAAGAGGAGGCGGACAUCAUCAAGGGAACGUCGACACGACGAGUUCUCCGAUAGAGGAGGCAAAGAGAUGUGUUAGAAGUGAGUGCUUUGAUUUAAUUCAAUUUUUUUUUAAUCUCCACCGAUGUGCUCGAGUUGGAGUGCAGUUUUCCCCCCGCAAAACGCAAUGACCGGCUUGGCCCCUCCGCCGCUAACGUGCCGCUAGAUGUCGCGUGCUGAUUGGCUCGACUAAUUUGCACAUCGGCAACAAGUUCCUGGGUGGCAGGGCGAGCAAUCGCAAGUUGUGUCACCGGCCAGAGUCCAGACAGUUUGUGGGUGUGCAGUGUUGUUACAUCUUUUUUAUGUUUUUUUAGAAUCAUCUUUUUUAUGUGAGAGGCUUUCACAAAUCUCUAAAUAAAUAAAGGACGCGUCUAGUGGGCGGCCGGCUGCCCACUAGCGCGAUCGAGCAGCUGGCCAUAAAAAGCAACUUCCUGUCCCCCACGUGGUACAGAAAAAGCAGGAUCGAGCUGCCACCAAACCGAGUGAUUCCAGCGCCCAAUCCCGAACAAAAAGCGACCCCCCCACGUGGCCAGCUGUCCACAAACUCGCUCGCCCCCACGUCCCAACCCCUCCCACGCCCGCUCGCCCAGGCAAUCCCACGCUGCUUUCUUGACCUGCAGGAAAGAAAGGGAUCCAAAGCUCCUUCUUCCUCCUCCUAUAUAGCCGCCAUGGGAGCAGAAAGAUAGAUGAAUCUGCUUCAACAAAUUGAUCUAAAAUGCAGGGUGAUCAGACCCAUACCAGGCAACAAACAUCAGGCAAGUACUUCCUCUCUAACCCUCUUCAGUUGUCCCCUUUCUUGUACUGCAUCUAUAAAACACCCUCCUCCAUGGAUCCAUCAGCAAAUCCAUGAAGAAUCUGCUUCAAAAAAAGAGUACAUUUGAAACAUCACCUUAUUGUGAACAUCACACCGGCCGCACCCCCCCCCCAUGAGUGCAUCUGCACACUAACUUAGGGUUCCCAGAUCGAAACUGAACGUGUUUUUCUAAACAUGCAUGCUAAGCAAGUUUACCCUGCCCCUUUUAUGUGUUCAACAAGUCAACUAAGACAUAUUUACUGGCCAACAAAUACAUGAUUCUAGCCAACUGAACAUGCAUGCUUGCCAACUAGAUAUAUGCAUCCUGGCCAACUGAAACGUCUAUUCUAGCCAGCUGAACACAUUGACUGUGCAACGGAACAUGCAUGCUGGCCAACUGAUAUAUGCAUCCUAGCCAAUUGAAAUGUCUAUUCUAGCUAGCUAAACACAUUGACUGUGCAACAGAACAUGCAUCCUGGCCAAGCUGAUAUAUGCAUCCUGGCCAACUGAAAUGUCUAUUCUAGCCAGCUAAAUACAUUGGUUGUGCAACAGAACAUGCAUUCUGGCCAAAAUGAUAUAUGGAUCCAUGAAAAUUCAAACAUCUAUUUUAGCCAACUAAACACAUUGGCUGUGCAACUGAACAUGCAUGCUGACCAACUGAUAUAUGCAUCCUAGGAAAAUUGAAACAUCUAUUCUAUCCAACUGAAUACAUGGACUGUGCAACUGAAUAUGCAUGCUGGCCAACUGAUAUAUGCAUCCUGGGAAAUUGAAACAUCUAUUCUAGCAAAAUUGAACACAUUGACUGUCAAACAAAACUUGCAUGCUGGCCAACUGAUAUAUGCAUCCUGGCCAACUCAAAGAUCUAUUCUAGCCAAAACCAAAAAACUGCAGUACGGCAACUUCUGCAGCAAUAUGUGCAACAGAUAAAUAAACAAGGUUAUUGAAGCCAUAAAACCACAUUAAAGUAGUCACACAUAUAUUCUGGUAGCACACCUAUUGCAAAGCUAUAGUGUAAAAAUAUGUUCAAAUAUACUGAAAGUAGAAACAGAAACGGCGACGAAAAACAUAUAUCUAUAGUCUGUCAUCAAAUUCUUCUUUCUUCUUUCACCUGGAUUUUGCAUCUGAAAAAGUAGCAUCAAAUUGUGUCCCUAUUAUGUGCAGCAAAAUUUGAAUAAGCUCCUUGCCAACGGAACCCUGCGGAUCAUUGCAAUAAAAGCAGAGGAAAAAGUCAGAAAACUCUAUGGCAAAAAGAAGUCAAGUUCUUGCCAACUAUUUACUACAAACUGUGCAACUAACAUAACAACUCUGUGCAAAAACAAAAAAUGCAUGCAUGUUAUAAUAAAAGAUUCUGCUACAGACAUGUUGCUUUUGGAACUAAGAUUGUCAUAAAAUGGUGUGCAACUGCCUAUUUACUAAGUUUUUUGGUUGUUUGAAACACUCUUUUCUAUGAUUAACAACUGAUGACAUCACUUUCUUCUUUUUUAUAUGUGCAGUGAGUGUGUGGCAGCAUCCAAAAAAAGGAAAAAAAUGCUUGUUUUCAAUGAGCUUCCUCAUGAUACGGAUCAGCAGCAACCCAGCAUACCACAAGGAAACUGGACAGAAAAUGUACGAUCUGUUUACUACACACAGGCUAGUCAUGGUGGAAACCCUAUGGGCCAUGACAAUGUGGUAGACCAACCAUCAACCCGUGGUGCCCCUGUAGUGGUGUCUUUGCAGUCAGAGAGCCAUACUCUAGAUGACAUGGGAACCGAGGCAAAUGUUCCUCAUCCAACCAGGACUGAGCUAGGAGCUGGGGCUGUUGACGGAGCUGUGCAAGAAGAAGAAGGAGAGGAUGAGGCUGGUUCUCAACGUAUGGAACCCUAUGUUGGCACGAGGUUUGACAGCCUUCAAAUUGCUAAGGAUCACUACAACAGCUACGCACUACGGAUGGAUUUCUCUAUCAAUAUGAACACAUCUAGACGGACACCCCGCACCAAUGAAUUGAUAAAACAACAGUUUUGCUGCAACAAGUUCAAGAAGCCCAAAGCUGAUGAUGGAGGAGCUGAGGCUCCUCCUGUUUUGGACCCUAUUCCAGAUCCAAAAUCUGUUGACAGUGAUGAGGAGAUGAAAGAAGAACCUCCAAUAUUUGCUGAAGAGGAGGCUGGUACUAGUAAGAAGAAGAAGAAGCGCAAACGUGAGACAAUAAAGCAGACUCAGUGCAAAGCAAAAAUGUUGGUGAAGCUGAUAGAUGGGCGAUGAGAGGUGACACACUUUGUUCGUGACCACAAUCAUCCGCUCGUGAACAAACCUUCAUUGUCCAAAUACUUGAGAUCCCACCAAGGCAUCUCACCUGAUGAAAAGGAGUUUCUGCGCAUCUUGUAUAACUGCAACUUGACUACAGGUGUGGUGUUUUUCUAUAUCCCUUAAAGAAUUAAGUUUUCCUCUAGGCAGUCUAGUGUGCAACUUUUAUGGUAGUACUGUGCAACUGAAAUGACUUAACUGUGCAACUGGUGUCCAACUGGUGUGCCACUGAAAUGACUUCACUUUUGGUGCUUGUUGUGCAACUAGAUUGUCUUUACUGUGCAACUAGACGAUGUCAUGUAUGCAAAAAGUGCAAAAGUGUUUUUAAAAAGAUGCAGCUAGGUGUCCAUUUCCUGCGAUUAUCUUUUGUGCCAACACAUUUCCUAUUACUGUGCAGCUGGAUGUGCGCAUUCGUGCAACUAAAAGAAGGAUAUACUAUUUUUUUGUAUUAUGCAGGACGUAUGAUGCAUGUAAUGGCAGAGUUUUAUGGAUCUAAGAUGAUGGUGCCAUUCGGACCAAAGGCAAUAACUAAUAUUUGUACAAGUUUCUGUAAAGAUGACACAAAGGAGGGUGAUCUGAUUGAGACAAUUGCGCACUUCAAGGAUAUUAAAAAACCGAUCCAGACUUCUUCUAUAAGGUGAAAUAUGAUGAAGAGGACAGAGUUGUCAACAUAUUUUGGGUGGAUGGCUUAGCUCGAAAAGCUUAUGCGGAGGCGUACCACGAUUGCAUAUCGUUUGACACCACCUACAUGACCAACAUGUACAAUAUUCCGUUUGCACCCUUCAUAGGAAUAAACUGACAUGGCCAAUCUUUCAUGUUGGGUUGCGCGUUUGUGAGGCAGGAGUUGGCAUCGAGCUUUGAUUGGGUCUUUGGAGCAUUCCUAGAGGCUAUGGAUGGCAAACCUCCUGACAACUUCAUAACCGAUCAGGAUGGUGCAAUGAGGCAGUCAAUACAGAGCAUCUUUCCAAACCACAGUGCACCGCUGUUGUCGAUGGCACAUCAUGAAAAAGGCUCAGGAAAAAGUUAGUUGGCUGCUGUGCCGGAAUCCAGGACUCUCUGAUGAUUUCAACAAGUGUGUUGACUUCAGCUUCACUAUAGACGAGUUUGAGCAGAAUUGGGCUGGGUUAAUGGUGAAGUACGAGGCUAUGACACACACACACACACACUUUGAGAAGUUGUACGAAUACAGGUCAACUUGGAUGUCGUGCUACUUCAAGCACAGGUUCUUCCCGUUCCUACAAUCUACAUAGUGUAAUGAGGGGUUCAACACCGUCCUGAAAAGAUAUGUGAACCCACACAACUCAAUGCUGAACUUCGUCAAGCAAUAUGAAAAAAAUCCAGAACCACAUCCUUGCCAAGGAAGGCUGCAAUGAUUAAAGGACAGAACACCUUGAGAUUGAGCUGUGGUCCAACUUCCCAAUAGAGAAGCAAGUUUACAAAACCUAUACUAGGGACCUUUACCGCAAGUUCAGAGAAGAGUUUGAGCUGAUUGGAUGUUAUAAUGCAUUCCAAGUUGGUGCUGAUAUAGAGCUCAGACCGAACCAGGAAUUUGUUGCCAAAUAUGGUUCUCGAAACUACUUGGUGUAGGCAAGGGUGGAGGAGGGCUCCUAUUUGUGUGAGUGCUGUAAAAUGGACAAAGACGACAUCCUCUAUUGCCACAUCCUCAAGGUGUUCACCCAUAUUGGAGUUGAUGUCAUACCGGAAAGGUACCUGCUAAGACAGUGGACACCUACUGCUAUACCUAGUGCGCCAGGGACUGGUUAUGAGCAACCGGAUGAAAUGCCUCCUCAGUCAAAGAAGCAGAUAAGGGAGAGGAACAUGAUAUACGAUUUUUGGAAACUAGCAAAGUUUGUGAGUGGUUCUGAUCCAGCACAAGCUAUUGUACACAAGCAUAUGCGUGCAACACGUACCGAGAUCGGCCACAUGAACAAGUCCAAGAAAAAGAAAAAACCGACUGCUGCCACGGGGCCAUCAGAUGAUGGCAACCCUCGAGGACCUCCUCCACCUCCACGCAGCAAUCAGGGUGCUCAUUAUCCAGCUAAUUAUCUGCCCCAACUCCUGAUCUAAAUAGGUGUGUAACUUCAGUUGCACACAUCAUUGUGCCUAGUUGCACACAUCAUGGUGGCCAGUUGCAUAGAAACAGGCUGCCUAGUUGCGCAUACUGUGUUAGUUCAAGCAUCGAGAUAACAUAACUAACUUGUUUUUCCUGUUCUGGAUAUAGAUGAUGUCAACCCUCAAGGACAUCCUCCACCUCCUGGCCCUAUAGGUAGCACUCAGGGGCCUCAUCGUCCAGGUAAUUACCUGCCCCAACUCCCAAUCAAACUAGGUCUGUAACUCCAGUUGCACACAUCAUGGUGCUCAGUUGCACAGAAAACAGGCUACCUAGUUGCGCACGUUGUGUUAGUUCGAGCAUCAAAGAUAACACAACUAACUUGUUUGUCCUGUUCUAUCUAUAGGUGAUGCCAACCCUCAAAGACCUCCUCCCCCGCCUGGCCCAACUAGCAGUGCCCUGCGUGCUACUCCCAAUGGACCUACAUGCAGGACUCAGGGGGCUCAUCACCCAGGUAAAAUACCUUCCCCAACUCCCAACAAAACUAGGAUGUGUGACUUCAGUUGCACAUAUCAUUAUGCCAGUGCAACGUCUUGAGCUUGCAUUGGUUUUCCUCGAAGAGGAGAGGGUGAUGCAUCAAUAGUAGCGUAAGUAUUUCCCUCAGUUUUUGAGAACCAAGAUAUCAAUCCAGUAGGAGGCUCCUCAAAAGUCACACGCACGUACACAAACAAACUGAGAACUCGCAACCAACGCGAUAAAGGGGUUGUCAAUCCCUUCACGGCCACUUGCGAAAGUGAGAUCUAAUAAAGAUGGUAAGCUAAGAUAAAUAUGUUUUUGGUAUUUUAUAAUAUGGAUGCAAAAAGUAAAGAUGCAAAUAAAAGUAGAUUGAAAGCAAAUAUGAUAAGAGAUAGUCCCGGGGGCCAUAGGUUUCACUAGAGGCUUCUCUCAAGAUAUCAUAAGUAUUACGGUGGGUGAACAAAUUACUGUCGAGCAAUUGAUAGAAAAGCGCAUAGUUAUGAGAUUAUCUAGGCAUGAUCAUGUAUAUAGGCAUCACGUCCAUAACAAGUAGACCGACUCCUGCCUGCAUCUACUAUUAUUACUCCACACAUCGACUGACUCCUGCCUGCAUCUAGAGUAUUAAGUUCAUAAGAACAGAGUAACACAUUAAGCAAGAUGACAUGAUGCAGAGAGAUAAACUCAUGCAAUAUGAUAUAAACCCCAUCUUGUUAUCCUUGAUGGCAACAAUACAAUACGUGCCUUGCAACUCUUUCUGUCACUGGGUAAGGACACCGCAAGAUUGAACCCAAAGCUAAGCACUUCUCCCAUGGCAAGAAAGACCAAUCUAGUAGGCCAAACCAAACUGAUAAUUCGAAGAGACUUGCAAAGAUAACUCAACCAUACAUAAAAGAAUUCAGAGAAGAUUCAAAUAUUAUUCAUAGAUAAACUUGAUCAUAAACCCACAAUUCAUCGGAUCUCGACAAACACACCGCAAAAAGAGUUUACAUCGAAUAGAUCUCCACAAGAGAGGGGGAGAACAUUGUAUUGAGAUCCAAAAAGAGAGAAGAAGCCAUCUAGCUAAUAACUAUGGACCCGUAGGUCUGUGGUAAACUACUCACAACUCAUCGGAGGGGCAAGGAUGUUGAUGUAGAGGCCCUCCGCGGUCGAUUCCCCCCCCGGCAGAGUGCCGACGAAGGCUCCAAGAUGGGAUCUCGCGGAUAUAGAAGGUUACGGUGGUGGAAAUUGUGUUUCAUGGUGCCCCUGGAUGUUUUCGGGGUACGUAGGUAUAUAUAGGAGGAAGAAGUACAUCGGUGGCCGCCCGAGGGGCCCACGAGACAGGGGGCGCACCCUAGAGGGGGGGGGGCUCCUAUCUCGUGGAGCCCUCAGCUGCUUCUUGACUUGCAUUCCAAGCUCUCCGGAUCACGUUCGUUCCAAAAAUCACGCUCCCGAAGGUUUCAUUCCGUUUGGACUCCGUUUGAUAUUCCUUUUCUUCGAAAUAUUGAAAUAGGCAGAAAAAACAGCAAUACGGGCCGGGCCUCCGGUUAGUAGGUUAGUCCCAAAAAUGAUAUAAAUGUGUAAAAUAAAGCCCAUAAACAUCCAAAAGAGGUAAUAUAAUAGCAUGGAACAAUCAAAAAUUAUAGAUACGUUGGAGACGUAUCAAGCAUCCCCAAGCUUAAUUCCUGCCCGUCCUCGAGUAGGUAAAUGUAAAUAAGAAAUUUUUGAUGUGGAAUGCUACCUAGCAUAAUUCUCAAUGUAAUUUUCUUUAUUGUGGCAUGAAUGUUCAGAUCCAAAUGAUUCAAAAUAAAAGCUUAUAAAACAUAAAAAUAAUAAUGCUUCAAAGCAUACUAACAAAAAAUCAUGUCCUAUCAAAAUAACAUAGCCAAAGAAAGCUUAUCCCUACAAAAUCAUAUAGUUAGGCCAUGCUUCAUUUUCAUUACACAAAAUACUCCCAUCAUGCACAACCUCGAUGACGAGCCGAGCAAUUGUUUCAUACUUUUUAACGCGCUUCAACUUUUUCAACUCUUACGCAAUACAUGAGCGUAAUCCAUGGACAUAACACUAUAGUGGUAUAUGGUGGUGGUUGUGAGGACAAAAAGAGGGAGAAGAUAAUCUCACAUCAACUAGGCGUACUAACGGGCUAUAUAGAGGUGCCCAUUAAUAGAUAUCAAUGUGAGUGAGUAGGGAUUGCCAUGCAACGAAUGCAGUAGAGCUAUAAAUAUAUGAAAGCUGAAAAAAGAAACUAAGUGGGUGUGCAUCCAACUUGCUUGCUCAUGAAGACCUAGGGCAUUUUGAGGAAGCCCAUUGUUGGAAUAUACAAGCCAAGUUCUAUAAUGAAAAAUUCCCACUAAGUAUACGAAAGUGACAACAUAGGAGACUCUCUAUCAUGAAGAUCAUGGUGCUACUUUGAAGCACAAGUGUGGAAAAAGAGAUAGUAGCAUUGUCCUUUCUCUCUUUUUAUCUCAUUUUAUUAUUUUUUCUUUUCUCUUUUUUUCUUUGGCCUUUUUUUUUCUUUUUGGCCUUUCUCAUUUUUUUUCUUUUUUUUAUUUCUCUUUUUUUUCUUUUUGUAAAGUCCGAAGUCUCAUCCCUACUUGUGCGGGAAUCAUAGCCUUCAUCAUCCUUACCUCACUAGGACAAUGCUCUAAUAAUUAAGAUCAUCACACUUCUAUGGAUUUACAACUCAAGAAUUACAACUCAAAGCUAGAACAAGAUCUGACUCUAUAUGAAUGCCUCCGGCGCUGUACCGGGAUAUGCAAUGAAUCAAGAGCGACAUGUAUGAAAAUUAUGAAGGUGGCCUUGCCACAAAUACGAUGUCAACUACAUGAUCAUGCAAAGAGCAAUAUGACAAUGAUGGAACGUGUCAUAAUAAAUGGAAUGGUGGAAAGUUGCAUGGCAAUAUAUCUCGGAAUGGCUAUGGAAAUGCCAUAAUAGGUAGGUAUGGUGGCUGUUUUGAGGAAGGUAAAUAAGGGGUUUAUGAUACCGACAAAAGUUGCGCGGUAAUAAUAAAGGCUAGCAACGUAAAAGGAUGAGUGUGCAUAUGUCCAUGGACUCACAUUAGUCAAAAGAGAACUCAUAUACUUAUUGAAAAAGCCUACUUAGCCCUCGAAGCAAAGUACUACUACGCAUGACCCAAGAGGGAUAGAUUGGUAGGAAAAGACCAUCGCUCGUCCCCGACUGCCACUCAUAAGGAAGACACUCAAAAGAGCACCUCAUCCAACAAAUUUGUCACACAACUUUUACCAUACGUGCAUGCUACGGGACUUGCCAACUUCGACAAAAGUAUUUCUCAAUUUCAUAAUUACCCACUAGCAUGACCCUAACAUUACUACCUUUAUAUCUCAAAACAACUAUCAAGCAUCAAGUUGAUCAUAGCAUCCAAUUCUUAUUCUAUGAUAGUUUUUAUUAUACCCAACUUGGAUGCUCAUCAUUCUAAGACCAACUUUGUAACCAUAGCAAAUACCAUGUUGUUCUAAAAAACUCUCAAAAAUAUAUAAGUGAAGCAUGAGAGACUAGAAAUUUCUUCAAAAUCAGGACACCACCAUGCUCUAAAAGAUAUAAGUGAAGCACUAGAGCAAAAACUAUCAAGCUCAAAAGAUAUAAGUGAAGCACAUAGAGUAUUCUAGCAAAUUCUAAUCAAAUAAGCUUCUCCCAAAAGGUGUGUACAGCAAGGAUGAUUGUGGUAAACUAAAAAGCAAAGACUAAUAUAAUACACGAUGCUCCAAGCAAAACACAUAUCAUGUGGCGAAUAAAAAUAUAGCUCCAAGUAAAGUUACCAAUGAACGAAGACGAAAGAGGGGAUGCCUUCCUGGGGCAUCCCCAAGCUUAGGAUUUUGGCUAUUCUUGAAUAUCUUGGGGUGCCUUGGGCAUACCCAAGCUUAGGCUCUUGCCACUCCUUAUUCCAUAGUCCAUAAAAACUUUACCCAAAACUUGAAAACUUCACAACACAAAACUCAACAGGAAAUCUUAUAAACUCCGUUAGUGAAAGAAAACAAAACCACUACAUAAGGUACUGCAAUGAACUCAUUAUUUAUUUAUUUUGGUGUUAAACCUACUGUAUUCGAACUUCCUUAUGGUUUAUAAACUAAUUUACUAACCAUAGAUGCAUUGAAAUAAGCAAACAACACACGAAAAACAGAAUCUGUCAAAAACAGAACAGUCUGUAGCAAUCUGUAACUAACGCAAAUUGCUGGAACUCUAAAAAUCCUACCAAAAUAGGAAGUCCUGGACAAUUUGUUUAUUGAAAAGCAGAAAAAAGAAUCAACGCAAAAUCACGUUCCUGUGAUUUAACAAAAUUAUAUUCGUGCCCGCAAAGUUUCUGUUUUUCAGCAGAAUCAAAUCAACUAUCAUCGUAGGUUAUCCUAUAGGUUCUACUUGGCACAAACACUAAUUAAAAGAUAAAACACAUCUAAACAGAAGGUAGAUGCAAGAUUUAUUACUAAACAGGAGCAAAAACAAAGAACAUAAAGAAAAUUGGGUUGCCUCCCAACUAGCGCUAUCGUUUAACGCCCCUAGCUAGGCAUAAAAACAAAGAUAGAUCUAAGUAGUGCCAUAUUUGGCACUAGAUUCGUAAGUAGCACGCAUGAUAGAUUCAUAAGGUAAUUUGACUUUAUUUCUUGGAAAGUGCUCCAUGCCUUUCUUUAAUGGAAAUUGGAAUCUAAUAUUCCCUUCCUUCAUAUCAAUAAUCGCACCAAUCGUUCUAAGAAAAGGUCUACCAAGAAUAAUAGGGCAAGAAAGAUUGCAAUCUAUAUCAAGAACGAUAAAAUCUACGGACACCAAAUUUCUAUUUGCAACAAUAAGAACAUCAUUGAUCCUUCCCAUAGGCCUUUUAAUGGUGGAAUCCGCAAGGUGCAGAUUUAAAGAGCAAUAAUCAAGAUCAUGGAAACCUAGAAUAUCACAUAAAGUUUCGGAAUCGUGGAAACACUAGCACCCAAAUCACACAAAGCAAAACACUCACAAUCUUUAAUUCUAAUCUUUAUAGUAGGUUCCCACUCAUCAUUAAGUUUUCUAGAUAUAGAAACUUCCAAAAUUAAGUUUUUCAUCAUAAGAUUGCAUCAAGGCAUCAACGAUAUGUUUGGUAAAAGUUUUAUUUUGACUAUAAGCAUGAGGAGAAUUAACAAUGGAUUGCAACAAGAAAAUACAACCUUUUAAAGAGCAAUUAUAAUAAUCAAAUUCCUUGAAAUCCGAGAUAGUAGAUUCAAUAUUAUUAGAAGUUGAGGAUUCUCCAAUCUCACUUUUACCAAAUUUAGCAAUAAGAUCUAAAGAUUCCGAAUUCUUGGGACGCCUUCUAGGCAAAGUUGAUUCAUCAUCAGUCCCAUUAUCAUCAAAAUUCAUAUUGCAAAAUAUAGAUCUAAUAGGAGACACAUCAAUAACUUUAAGAUCCUCAUCAUUAUUUUCACCUAACUUUUCUGGUUCAGCGGCCAUCUUAUUGACUAAGGUGGCUUGCUUAUCAGAAAUUUUGGCUAUAGUAUUUUCAAGACGGGUAAUUUGAGCAUUAACACCAUAAAAUUCUUCAUUCAUAUCAUCAAGCUCUUUGUUCCUAAACCCCAAAAAACCUUUUUGUUCCUUAAGCUCUUUUCUAAAGAAGUUAUUAUGCUAAAAUUGCAAAUUCAUAAAGCUUCUAAUAUUUGAUUCAAUCUCUUCCAUCCUUCUGAGAAGGUGGUCAUGACCCUUAGGCGAAGCCAUAAGGACAAACAGGCACACAAGCAAACAGAGAAGGGCAAGCGAAAGAGAGGAGGAGAUUGCGAAAGAGAGGGCGAAUAAAACGGCAAGGGUGAAGUGGGGGAGAGGAAAACAAGAGGCAAAUGGUAAAUAAUGUAAAUGCGAGGGAGAUGGGUUUGUGAUGGGUACUUGGUAUGUCUUGACUUGAGCGAAGACCUCCCCGGCAACGGCGCCAGAAAUCCUUCUUGCUACGUCUUGAGCUUGCGCUGGUUUUCCUCGAAGAGGAGAGGGUGAUACAUCAAUAGUAGCGUAAGUAUUUCCCUCAGUUUUUGAGAAACAAGGUAUCAAUCCAGUAGCUGGCUCCUCAAAAGUCCCACGCACCUACACAAACAAACUGAGAACUCGCAACCAACGCGAUAAAGGGGUUGUCAAUCCCUUCACGGCCACUUGCGAAAGUGAGAUCUAAUAAAGAUGGUAAGAUAAGAUAAAUAUAUUUUUGGUAUUUUAUAAUAUGGAUGCAAAAAGUAAAGAUGCAAAUAAACAUAGAAUGAAAGCAAAUAUGAUAAGAGAUAGACCCGGGGGCCAUUGGUUUCACUAGAGGCUUCUCUCAAGAUAGCAUAAGUAUUACCGUGGGUGAACAAAUUACUGUCGAGCAAUUGAUAGAAAAGUGCAUAGUUAUGAGAUUAUCUAGGCAUGAUCAUGUAUAUAGGCAUCACGUCCAUAACAAGUAGACCGACUCCUGCCUGCAUCUACUACUAUUACUCCACACAUCGACCGACUCCUGCCUGCAUCUAGAGUAUUAAGUUCAUAAGAUCAGAGUAACGCAUUAAGCAAGAUGACAUGAUGUAGAGGGAUAAACUCAUGCACUAUGAUAUAAACCCCAUCUUAUUAUCCUCGAUGGCAACAAUACAAUACGUGCCUUGCAACCCUUUCUGUCACUGGGUAAGGACACCGCAAGAUUGAACCCAAAGCUAAGCACUUCUCCCAUGGCAAGAAAGACCAAUCUAGUAGGCCAAACCAAACUGAUAAUUCGAAGAGACUUGCAAAGAUAACUCAACCAUACAUAAAAGAAUUCAGAGAAGAUUCAAAUAUUAUUCAUAGAUAAACUUGAUCAUAAACCCACAAUUCAUCAGAUCUCAACAAACACACCGCAAAAAGAGUUUACAUCGAAUAGAUCUCCACAAGAGAGGGGGAGAACAUUGUAUUGAAAUCCAAAAAGAGAGAAGAAGCCAUCUAGCUAAUAACUAUGGACCCGUAGGUCUGUGGUAAACUACUCACAACUCAUCGGAGGGGCAAGGAUGUUGAUGUACAGGCCCUCCAUGGUCGAUUCCCCCUCCAACAGAGUGCCCGGCGAAGGCUCCAAGAUGGGAUCUCGCGGAUACAGAAGAUUACGGUGGUGGAAAUUGUGUUUCGUGGCGCCCCUGGAUGUUUUCGGGGUACAUAGGUAUAUAUAGGAGGAAGAAGUACGUUGGUGGCCGCCCGAGGGGCCUACGAGACAGGGGGCAUGCCCUACAGGGGGGCGCAGCCUCCUAUCUCGUGGAGCCCUCGACUGCUUCUUGACUUGCACUCCAAUCUCUCCGGAUCACGUUCGUUCCAAAAAUCACGCUCCCGAAGGUUUCAUUCCGUUUGAACUCCGUUUGAUAUUCCUUCUCUUCGAAAUACUGAAAUAUGCAAAAAAAACAGCAAUACAGGCUGGGCCUCCGGUUAGUAGGUUAGUCUCAAAAAUGAUAUAAAUGUGUAAAAUAAAGCCCAUAAACAUCCAAAAGAGGUAAUAUAAUAGCAUGGAACAAUCAAAAAUUAUAUAUACGUUGGAGACGUAUCACCCAGUUGCACAGAACAUGCUGCCUAGUUGCGUGCGCUGUGUUAGUUUGAGGAUCAAGCUAAAAAUCUAACUUGUUUUUCCUGUUCUACCCAUAGGCAAUUACAAUCCAAGUACCAUGACGGGACGUGCUACUCCAAGUGUUUUUUCAACUUAACCUGCACACAUCAACCAGUUAGGUGCACAGCAUGGGCUGCGUGGUUGCAGAGAACAUUAGUGCUGGUUGCACAACAAAAAAAGUACUAAAUUUUUUAUAUGAUUAUUACACAGGUGAUCGUGAUGGUCCUACUGCCCCGUUGGAGGAUGCAUCCCCUGCACAAGCUUCUGAUGACUUUGUGCCCAGGGAUCCUCCAAGGUCUACUACAAAGGGUAGGGCAAAAAGUUGACGGUACAAAUCGGCGCUGGAGCUACACCCAAAGAAGAAAAACAAAUGCAACCAAUGCCAAUCUACAGAGCACACUGCUGGUGUGUGUGUCCACUCAGGCUACUGUGAUUCUGUUUCACCAUUUGUAACUUUGAGACAAAAAAGGAAAAGAAUGAUGUUUUUUAGCAAUGCUGGGACCAAGUAGACACAUUCAGCAUCUAUGAUUUCUCUUUAUCUAAUUUAUGCUCCUUGAAUUAUUUCAUGCACUGUGUAAAAAAUGUUGCUAUUUGUACCUUUGUUGGCAACUGGUUAAAUAUUUAGUUGUUGAACAAUUGUAUGUCAAGUGCUCCUAAUAUAUCAACAAAAGUGAUGAUAUUGACUUGCAAACGGAAUUGCUACUAGUGUGCAACUACAAAAUCUGCUUAAAAAUUGUGCAAACCAGCAACUACCUCCAUGGAGCAGAGAAAGAAAAAGAGUACUGACCUAGUCCUUGUCGUAUCUCAGCAACUUCCUCCAUGGGGCGGUGUUGUGCACGCUGGUGACCCAGUCAUAUGCCAUCUUCUUCCUGAUGUUGAGUACUUCCUUGGGUUCGUAGUUGGGCAGUUGGCUAUCGUUCCACUCGGUGGCGUUAAGCAGUGCGAACAACCCACACUCAUUACUGCGAUGGGCAAGAAAAGAAAAUUUGUCACAUAAAAUUAAAACCAAAUAAAGAUAAUGCACUCUGUGCAACUGCUUAUGUUCUACUGUGCAACUGUUUAUGUUCUACUGUGCAACUACUUAUGUUCUACUGUGCAACUUCUUAUGUGCCACUAUGCAACUGCUUAUGUGCCACUCUGCAACUGGCUAGAUAAUCCAUUAGAAACUCAUAAAAAUGAUAAACAGAUUGCAGACUAGUACUGUGUCUUAAAAAACUAAAGAUUGCACAUGUAGAAAAAUUUAAAAACUACAAAAUGAUGGUAAGAAAUUGAGAAGAGAGCCAUGCUUAUUGUCUUACUUGCCGAGCUGCUUCGGUACGUCAAUGUAAAUAAUCUGAAAGUGCUCGAUGCUGAAAUUUGGGUAAUGCUUCCUCCAUAGCUGGCGUACUGCCCCCGCGAUGGUAGAGGCGGUGGUCAUCAGCUCAAUGUCAUCUAGCGUCCUGCUUGAAUCAAGAACUUCGAAGCGUCCGUCCCUCAAGUUGACAUUGAAGACCCAAUAAUGCCUCCCUCCCUCCUUAUCGGUUACAUCAGUGCACUCGAGCACUGGCAGCAUGACCUGCAAGUGUGAACGAUUUCAGACAUAGAUACAGGCUGUAGCUAAGAAAAAACAGUAAAAGACUUGGUCAAGUUAAAACAUGUUGCAACAAGUAUGUGCCAACUAACAGAUGUGCCAUGUGCAACUGAACAUGCUGUGGGUGUCAACAAAAAGAGAUGGAUCAUGUGGGCACAACACUCACCAAGUCCUUCUUGUCGAGACGGUUCUUGUAAUCAAACUUCUUGUUUAUCUCUUUCACGUUGUGGAUACCUUGCUGUAAAUUCAUCUGCAGAGAUUAUAAAGCAUGGCUCAAACUCCUUAGUAGAUGAAAGGCCUCCCUCAAUUGGUCAACAAAAAAGUGCUACAGAACAAAGAUGAGGGUAAGGAAGGUUUUGGAAAAACUUACCGAAAAACUCAGUGGCAUAACAACCUUCUUUGACCCUUCUAGUAAGCUCUCCAUGAUGUGUAAGAUUCCAGUCUCAAUAACAAUUUUUGACAGCCAUUGAACCGGCUUCAUCGAAUCAACUAACUCCUUUAAAGAAAUGUAGAAAUCACCAUACCUGAUUAUCUCAGGGCUGAAUUUUUUUUGAAAGCAAUAAAAAGACAAGUUAGCUCGAAGGGUCAUAGUAGCAAAAAAAAUGUGCAUGAAAUUGAAAAACAGAACAGUGUGCAACUAAAAGCCCUGUUCUGUGCAACAUGCUAUGCUUUCUGUGCAACUAAGUGGCUGGUCUUGUGCAACUGAAAAAGAUAUGUAUGUAGGCUGUGGGGAGUUAGUUUACCUGGUAGCUUCAUCAUUUGCUCCUUCAUGAUGCCUGGCCCAACACAAGAGGGCAGCGUAAAGCUUGUUCACUGCCUCAUUGGAGCUGAAAGACUUCUUCUUGUUGUAGUCAAUGAAUGGAGACCUUUGAGAUGCCGCGAGCCUUAUUACCGUCCUCUGUCUUCAUGCAAUAGGUGGUCCUGAAGAACAGCUCGUGUCAGCUUCUGGUUCUGCGCAUAUCGGGGUGUGGCAAUUCUCUGGUGAUCCAACAUCUAGCUCUUGAGCUAUUGCCUUGCCAGCAUCAGCAGCAGCGCAUCCUUCAUUCACAGCUGCUGGGUCCAACUCACACUCAUCAAUACUAAUCACACCGGCUUCCGCUGUUUCUGCUGCUGGAGCAGGUGCUGGAGCAUGACCAUCUAUGCCGAGGUCAAAAGAUGGUGCAUCACAGAACCCGUCACCAUGAUAAGACUUUAAUCUUCGUAUGGGUUCAAGGACUAGGGCAUCUCCUUGCGGCACAAACAUGGGUGCAUCAUUCACUGACUUGGUUCGUGAUAGUGUUGUAGUUGGCAGCCUUGGAGGCUUGCACCUACUUAUAAUCUUGAACACCUCCUCUUGUGUUAAUGGUUGCUGAAAGUCAGCUCUUGGUGAUGCAGGCUUGCUUGGCUGUUGUGUGCUGGCUCUUGGGGACGGCAAUUUGGUAGUAGGAUCACCUCCUUUUGUGUUUGGCAUUGAAGCAUCUCUAUGAGUAGGCACUUUGGGGCUUGCAGUUGCAGUGGUGCCUUCCUGAGCAGAUGUGGUGGUUUUGACUAUGACCACGCUGCUAACUGACACAUCAGUUGGCACACUGGUAUCUGUAGUUGGCAUCUUUCCAGUCUGAGUUGGCAGCAACCUAGCAGAACUUGGCACCCCUGCAUCAAUGGUUGCAGCUCGCAGUUCUCUCUCGUCUCUGAACCCCAAAUCUUUUGUGGCCUGUUCCCCCUUUGUGCCGCUGGCAAACUUGACAAUCUUUUGUUGCUUAGGUGGUUUUGGUGGGACUGUUGAAAGGGGAGUCUUCCCCUUGAUCUGUUGAACUCCUGUUAUGGUGGUUGGCUCUCUGCUCACUACAGUUGGCAUAUCAGUUUGAAGCACAGCUUUCUUGACCAUAUUUACUUCAGCAUCUGCACUCACCAUCUUCUCCUUGGUUUGAGGCAAAUGUAGAUUCUUCUUCAUUGAAACUUCUUUACGCUUCUGGACCACGUGAGGGUUUGCCAUGGAUGCUACCUUGCUCUUGCCGGAGCUUAGGUCUCGAAGCUGCUUCAAAUAUUCCUUGUAUUUUUCCUUUGAAUGAACCCAGUCAAGACCCUUUCCUGCUUUCUCCAUGUCAAUUUGAUUCUUUUCAGCAACACUUGAUAAGAACGGGCUCUUGUCAAUGGCAACGUUGAUCUUCUCACACAUAUCUUGGUCGCUAAAAUAUGGCACAGGAAAGGUGGUUGGCAAAGCUGGCUUCAAGUUGCAGAGCUUGAACAUAUCAAUGCUGCACUGGGACUCUGCUUCGUCAUUUUUCUUUGACUUCGGCAAAUCCUUGUCUUCCAGCAAGUUUUGUCAAUUAGCAUCUGUAGUGUGCUCCUGCUACUCAGUGAAUUGCUGCUGCUGGCAGGAGUGGCAGAAGUGCUAGUCCUACUGGAUGUGUUGCCGCCUGUACGACCAGAACCAGGGGCAUUGUCAUCAUCAUCAUCAUCGCUGCUGUCGCUGCCUCCACUGGAUCCCCCUUUAUCAUCACCAUAACCCACCUCGUCUUCUUCUUCAUCAUCUUCUUCCCUCUCACUGCCAUCAACUGCUGCACCUUUGUCCCCGUCCACCUCUUUGGCCUCACCUUCUUCUUCCUCCUCCUCUGCCUCACUAUCUUCUUCCUUGUCCUCCUCCUCUCCUUUGUCCUCUUCUUGUUUGUCCUCCUCCUCCUCCUCCUCCUCCUCUUCCUCCUCCUUCUCCUCCUCUUCCUCCUCCUCUUCCUCCUCCUCCUCUGCAUCUUCUUCAUUGUCAUCCUCAUCCUUGUCCUCAUCCUCUGAUUCAUCCGCAUUUGUGUCGUCGUCAUUGUCAACAUCUAUCGCUGCUUCCAUUUCCUCAUCUUCUUCUGACUCAUCCUCAACAAACUCUUCUUCUUGUUGUAUAAUUGACCCCCGUCUCUUUCUUUUUGGAGCACGGCGUGACGCCCCGGUUUGCAUUGAUGGCUGCUGUACGUAAGGAUCAAUAUCCGGUUCCUCAUCAUCAAUCUUGGCAACUGCUUCAAUGAAGGUGCCAACCUGUUCAGUUACAGCCUUGCACAGGUCAUUGACCACUUUCGCAAUCUUUGCCUUUUUCUGCAUCAACACAAAAAAAAGAUUCAAUAUUGAUUCAGUUAGAAAAAAUUAAAAAGUAAAAUGUUUGUAACUGACCAUGAUGUGAUAAGCAAAAACCGACUAAUACACACUUUUUGGCCAACUAAAAACAUGAUUCUAGCCAACUACACAUGCACUGUGGCACAAACUAAAAACAUGCAUUCUACCCAGUUGAUGUCAAUGGUUGUAAACGAACACUUUGACUGUCAAAAAGAACAUGUGCAACUAUAGAAGCUUAUAUGUGCAACUGAACAUACAUCACAACCAACUGAAUCCUUUAUUCUCGCAACUACAAAAGUUAUACAUGUCCAACUGAACAUACAUCCCAGCCAAAAGAAAAUGUUGGUAAGUGGUACAAAUUUAUGUAUGCAAAACACUAACCUGCGGAUUGUAGGUUAUUGGUAACUUGGAUGCCACGAAUGCUUCAGCUUGCAAAAUUCCACCAAACAGUGGUGUCUGCUCCGUGCCUCUAUACUCCUCUUUAAGCUGAUGUAAAAAAACAGAAAAAGAAAAGAACAAGGUUAUCAAAACAAAUUUUUGUGUUAAACAAAACCAAACAUUAUAACCUGUGCAACUACAACAAGAUACUAUGGUAGACAAUUCGACUAUACAUAUAUGCAACUGAACAAAGAUACAAAAACUGUGCAACCCACAUGGCACCUAAAUUUUUUUUCUACCAACUGAUGCCACACAUCUAUGCAACAAGAUUAGUAAAACUGUGCAACUUAAAAAAGAUGGUGUGCCAAUUUAAAAUGAACAUGUGUGCAGAUGCCAAACUUAAAGCUACAAGCUGUGCAACUACAUGAAUUGUUGUGCCAACUGAUGACAGUUUUUGUGCAAUUUCCAAAAAAGUGACUAGACAUCAAAAGAACAUAAAAAAAGAGACUGUUGGAAAAAAACAAAGAGAACUCACUUGUAAUUUGCCGAACACACCAGGAGAGACGGUAUCAUUCUUCAUCACCUUGGCAAUUAGAGUACCAUCCCAUGCAUUCGGUCGCAUCGCGCAGUUGCUUACUGGGAUGUCAUGGACAAGCGCAUCAAGGUAUAGUAUCUUCACCAGACCCAACAAAAGAAAAGCCAAGUUCAGUUAUUAUUAUGAGUAUUUCAGCAAACUAUAACUGCACAAAAAGAAAAAGAACAGAUGGAAGUGGUCGUUUUCACUAACCAUCAAGUGAUACAAGCAGCAGCAAACAGUUUGCUUCUCCUGGUCCAUGUUCCGGAAAGCUUCGUUAAUGUGUUCUGCUACAAAAAGGCAGAUGUUUGUGUUCUUGAGGUUUUCAUGAUCAAGGCCGUGGUUGGUGCUAAGAAAGUGUUGAAGGCAACUACAAGCCAGGCCAUAAAGAAUGUGUCAUCCGUUCUUCCCCCCAUAUCCUUAAUCAUCGUGGUCCAUGUACUGAUCUGGGGAUGAGAAGUUCCAGUUAUGUUGAAGGUCUCUCUGAAUCUCCUAGUUGUUUCCUUGUCAACUUUGUAACAGACUUUUAGACCCCUGUUAGGAAGAUCAAAUACCCUUUGAACACUGUCAGCAUCGACACGGAUCCUUCCCCUUCCUAGGAAAACCAUUUCAGAGGUCUGUGGCUGGUAGGACUGCACCAGGAACUUAGUGAGGUCUGCUGGAAGUGUGUCUGACAAGUUCAAUAGCCCCCCGAACAAACUCUAAACUAGCUCUGACUUCUGUGGUGGGGUUAGAGAGGCGUUGAAAUUUGCAAACCGCGCUGGUGAUGCCCUUAUCCUGCCUGCUUGUGAUGGUCGCUCCACAUCUUCCCCUGCAGCCACCUCAACUCCUUCACCGCUGGCCUGUUAAUGAGAAUAUAAAAACAUUAAGGAAACAUUAAAAACAAGAGAAAAAAUAAGAAUGAAAAAAAAAUCUAACAAUCAUCAUUUGGAUCAGUAUUGGAAAAAGCUAUAUAUUCAUAAAAUGGAUCAUGCCAACUAAUAUGGUGUAUUUGUGCAACUAAUAAAGACCAUGAGGACAACUAAAGACUGCCAGUGUGCAACCUUCAAAAAAAACUAAGAAAAUAUACGAUACCUGGCAACUACAAAAAGUUCUAACGGAUGUGCAACAAUAAGAAAUGAUAUUGCAACAAGAUAACAACAACUAAAAAAAGGUUUGCAAGGAACUGUUCAAUAGCUCAUAAACACACAAAAAAACCACAUACCUCAGCAUCCGUUGCGGAAGAUGCGACAGGUCCUCCAGCAACUGUUGCCUGCACAAAAAAAUGACCAGUGAUGUCAACUAUAAAGAAGCCAACUUGUCAACUACAAGAUGCCAACUAAUGCCAACUAAUGUCAACUGUAUUUAGAUCAAGAUGGCUAGAGAUGUCAACUACAAGGUUGUUAUUGACAAACUAAAAACAAAAAUGGUGGUGAGACCUGCUGCAUAAUUUCAUCAGCGUCUAAAAAGCGAGAAACACUUAUAUUCGAGAAUUUACUUGCCCUAGAAGAUGACUCAACUCCCUUUCCAACUGUUGCACGUCUAGUCCGCUUUACAACACGGAACUGAUCAGCAUCCUAAGAAAAAAUAAAAAACCAAAAAAUGGGCUUGUGUCAUCAGCAUGCCACUUACCUCAACAUCCUCUCCUUGCUCAACACUCCGCGCAAGUCGUGCCUGGCGAUUAGGAGGACGCUUCGACCUCCAGCGAAGCGACUGACUUCCAGAACGCUGAUUAAGCAACCCAAAAAGAAAACAUGAAAAAAGGACAUUAGCAUACAUGCAUAAGUUGAAAACAACUCAAAAACACAGAAAAAGUGAAAAAAAAAGACAUCUUCUUCAUUGCCAUCCGCUUCUCCUCCUAUUAUAACCAUUUUUGCCCUGCAGGAGGAAAUAUAACAAAAGAAAACAUAGUUAGAAGAUGCGGAAACAAACUAGGGAAAUCAUAGAAGGUUGCUUUGAUUUGCAGACAUCUACACAUAAGCAGGACACAAAAAGCAAAAAACCAAAAAACAUGUGGACAACCAACUACUACAAUGAUGUAGCCAACUGGGCAGUAAACCUUGUGCAAACUAGACAACAUAUAAACCAACUAACUAUUUUCUGCCUAGGUCUUACUUGCCAACUGUGACAAGUAAUAACUAGGCAGAAAAUAGUUAACUAAAGGCAACAAGCUCAGUAAGAUAACUUGUGCAAACUGGAACAAGCAAAAAAUGCAAAGCAAAAAAUCCAGCAAAACAAUUGGGCAUACUAUAUUGAAAAAUUAGCAACCAUUCAGUGCUAAUUUGCAAAAAUAAUUGUCCCUAGUUGCACAUGAGGGGAACGCAUGAAAACAACCACAUCCACAACAAAGACUUGCACAUUGAGAAAAAUUAAAUUGGAAAAUUGGCAAGUAUUGGUACUAAUUUGCACAAUCAAGGGGCCCCUAGUUGCACAAAGCAGGAGAAAGCACAUGAACCACCACAGCCACCAUAAUGCUGGUGGAUAGGGUAGACUAUAUUGGAAAACUGGCAAGCAUUGAUGCUAAAUUGCACAGACAAGAGUCCCUAGUUGCACACAGCAGAGGGGGGAAAACAGCAAAGCCAACUAAGUAGAGCAACUAGCACAAAGUGUAUAACAUAUGAACAGUCAACUAGUAAAAGUGAUGCAGCCAACUGAGCAGGCAACUUGUGCAAUUGAAUACCGUAUAGACAACCAACUAGUACAAACAGUGAGCCAACUGACCAAAACAACUGCUGCAACUGCAGAGCAUAUGGACAGCCAGGUACUAUAUGGACGCAGCCAACUGAGCAGAAUUUUGUGCAACUAACCACUUGAAUUACUGAAUCAUGAACUUGCAGGAUCAGGGAAAAUCAGCCAAUGCAUUGCACAUUACAUUGCGCGCAUCUAAUACAACUUGCAGGAUGACUAAGAAUCAUGAACAGAUCUCAAACCUCUGCAAAAUUGAACAGAACAUGAACUAAACAGCCAAAUCGCCCUAAAAUCGCAACGGGCGCCAUGGACAUGCAUCCCUUCUACCUAACGACUACCACGUACCCUGGCCAACUACACGUUGACCCUGGCUAGCCACCCCCGUGCCGUCAAGGGAGUACUAAUUUGCACAAGUGAUGAUAUCUAUUUGCACACGGCAGAAUAAAAAAACACGUGGACCACCACAUCCACCACAAGGCUGGCAGAUUGGGUACACUAUAUUGCAAAAAAUGGCAAGCCUUGGUGCUAAAUUGCAAACAAGGGUUCCUAGUUGCACACAGCAGCGGGAAAACACACGAACCACCAGAUCAAUCACAAAGGAUGGCAGCUUGGCUAGUUAAUGUUGGGAAAUUGGCAAGCAUAGAUACUGAUUUGCACAAAAAAAUGGUCCCUAAUUGCACACAGCAGGGAAAAACACAUGACCCAGGAGAACCACCACAAGGCUGACACAUGGCUAUAUUGUCUCAAAAAUUGUCUACUGCUGCUCCUAUUUUGCACGCAAGGGGCAACACAGUUGCACACCGCGGGGGGAAAACACUCAUCAAAAACACCAGAUCCACCGCGAGGCUACAAUCCACAAACGAACCUCUAUGGCCGCUAACCAAUCAUCCUCCCUGAACCACUCAUCCCGUACGUAUAUACACGAACUCUCCCCCUAUUGCAAUGCAAAAACGACGGGAUGAGCACGACCCUAGCCCAUCCCUGCCAAUCCGGCGGUUUCCCAAACGAAGUAGUCCGCGGGGGUGACCUCAACCUCGCCGGAAAAUGAGUUCGACCUUCCUACCCCCGACCGUGACCUCGAGUUCGACCUUUACCUCGACCUCACCGAAAAAUGUGGGACCUCACCGGAAAAAAGGAGGGGAUGGGGACGAGUACCGGGGAACGCAUGGUAGGAGCAGUACCUGUGCCGCCGCGGACAACGACCCUCGCGGUGCGCCCCGCCGUUGACCACAACCAAUGGCGGAUUUGGAGCCGCCUCCGAGCACCAACCAGCGGCGAGAGCAGGGGGAAAGAGGAGGAAUGGGCGGCGACAGGUGCGGGGUGGACGGGGUAAUGGCACGAAAUUCGAAACCGCCACCCACUACGCACGACGGCUAUCACGCUGGGGAACUGCCUAAUCCUCUAUGACGUGUGGGUCCGUCGGGAAGUUUAUCUCGCGCGGCGCGGCUCGAUCGGACCAGGCGAUCGGUCCACGCGCGGUCCGAGCGGCGCGGCUCCACCACCCGACCAGGGAACACCUGGACAUCGCGCGCCGUCGAUCGGAACGAGAUCGAGCGGCUCUCGUUCGGCCGCUCGUUCUCUCUAGAUAGUGCGCGUGUAUUUUUUAGGUUUUGGGAUAAAUAAACUGUGAGAUGCUUUCACGGUGGGCCUUUGCCCAUCCCGUACUAUUCCACUCCACCGCCGCCAUCCAUCUCUCAUCCCAACCUACCUAUUCCAGCCGCCUCCAAGCUAUGGAGAAGCCAGUGAAGGUGCCGAUGUCCAGGCUCACCGACGACCUAAUCGCGGAGAUCCUCUCUCGGGUGCCCUACAAAUCACUCUGCAUCUGCAAGUGUGUGUGCCCGGCCUGGCGCGACCUCAUCGCCGACCCCGCGCACCGGAAGAAAGUUGUGCAGACCCUGGCCGGCUUUUUCUACCGCAUCACCGGCGAGGUCACGGCCGUCAAGUACGCCGACCUGUCCGCCUUCCCCUGGUCGAGCGUUCCCAAGACCUACCCACGCCUGCCACUGCCAACUGACAACAAUUUCUUCUCUCUUGAGGAUUCCUGCGAUGGAUUGUUUCUUGCCCGCAUUCGGACGGGCACCCCUGCUGGAAAAUUUCGCUACAUGGUCUCCAAUCCGGCCACGAAUGAGUACACUGUGCUGCCUGACUCUGGCUCCGCCGGCAACAUCUGCCUUGCUUACCUGGGUUUCGACAGUGAUGUUUCCACUCAAGAGUUUCAUGUGUUCGAGUUUGUACUGGUCCUCCGUGAGCCAUCCCUGGUUGUGAGGGGAGUGAAUAUUUACUCUUCAAAAACUGUUGCAUGGGUAGCAAUGGAACCCAAAUGGGACAUCCAAGUUACGUUGUGCUGGCGUAAACCAGGAGUUUUCCGUAAGGGGUUUCUGCACUUGCUGAUAGGUCAGUUUGGGUUGGCAAUACUUGAUGCAGAAGGGCUAACAUGGAGAAUUAUCCCGCUUCCAGUUGUAGAAAGUGUUAAUCCGUGUUUCUCCGGAUUCAUUGGAAAGUCUGCCGGACAGCUAAUUUAUAUCGACCGCGGUGCUAUUGAAGGACACGGCUCUAAUGCAUUGUUGACUAUAUCAGUUUACGUUCUUGGUGCUGAGAUAUGUCAGUGGGAUGUGACUCACCUGGAUGACAAGUGCAUGCGUUGGAAACUCUUGCACAAGCUUUCAAAUGUACUCCGAAGAAGAUGUUUCGGCUCUGUUUCAACCUCGAAGUCAUUGCAGUACACCCACAUGCCAAUAUAAUCUUCUUUGUAGCUCAUUGGAAGAAUGAACUGGUUGCAUACGAUCUGGAUCGUCAUGAGAAGCACAAUUGUGUAUCACAUUCACAUUGAGCCUAACUACUGGCAGUUUAUGAAUUUUUUCCCAUAUGUUCCAUCGUUGUCCCGCUUACCACUGGAUGGAGGAAUACAGCUGGCAACUCCAAAUCAAUGAAUGUUCUGCUCAUUAAAAGUUGGGCAGUCAGCGGUGAGGUGCUCCGGUGUGUUCUCAAGAGUAAUCUUCACAGAGAUUCAAAUACAGAUGAUAUUGUUUUGGAAAAUGCUAACUUCAGUUUUCAGUUCAGUUGGAAAAUGCCAACAAGUAGAGCUGCAUGAGAUACCUUAGUUUGUUAUAUUUUGACAUGUACUACUACUACCUUGUAUUUCUAUUAGAAUCUUAUGUUCUGAUAUGAAAAGGCAUAGUCUGAUAUGUGCACAUUCAAUCUGCAUUGGUUGGUUCUAUCUUGGUGUUUGCACUAAGNNNNNNNNNNNNNNNNNNNNNNNNNNNNNNNNNNNNNNNNNNNNNNNNNNNNNNNNNNNNNNNNNNNNNNNNNNNNNNNNNNNNNNNNNNNNNNNNNNNNNNNNNNNNNNNNNNNNNNNNNNNNNNNNNNNNNNNNNNNNNNNNNNNNNNNNNNNNNNNNNNNNNNNNNNNNNNNNNNNNNNNNNNNNNNNNNNNNNNNNNNNNNNNNNNNNNNNNNNNNNNNNNNNNNNNNNNNNNNNNNNNNNNNNNNNNNNNNNNNNNNNNNNNNNNNNNNNNNNNNNNNNNNNNNNNNNNNNNNNNNNNNNNNNNNNNNNNNNNNNNNNNNNNNNUUAUAUUCAUAGAAGUUUGCAUACGUAUGAAGCAUAUAUUGUGAUCACGCUGUCUCAAAAGGCUGAGAAAUGUCAAUGUUGAUGAUCCGUAAUCCUAGCUGGUUUAUAUCUGUCUCACAAAAUGGUCAAAAUCUCCUAAUAGGACUUGGAACCGUUUCUUGCUCCAUUUUUUCUUCUUCUAAUGGCUCCAAAUUCCAUGUCUAGAGUAUGUAGUUACGUUUUCCUGUCCUCUUUCGAUCUUUCAAUUUUGUUGGUCUGUGAUAUGAUUCCACUAUGAGAGGCACUAAUAUCUUCCCCCCUGUAAUUAACUAGUAUGUUCCAGUUCCAUCAGUUUGAGAUGAAAGUGUAUCCCUGAUUUGAAGCUUUUUACUAUUCACCAACCAAUAAACUAAAUAUUUUAGCCCUCACCUAUGGAAUCUUCGUCUAUAUCUGAACCUGACUGUUUUUGCUAGCAGCUUUCAAGAUUCUAUGUGCAAAAUGAAAGGUCCUAGUCCAUCUUUCUUUGGCUAACCAGAGUAGUUGCCUUGUCUCUACCAGUAUCAAAACAGACAGUGUAAUUUGCACUAUGCUGAUCACUCAGAUGUGGAGUAGAAUUAAUCAUUUCAGGGACAUGUUUAGUACAAUGAUAGAAUUAUUUUUUCCCAGUAGAUAAGCAUGUCAAUGUGUAUUCCGCUGAAUAAUGUGAAGCAUAUUGGCUGCUAAACCUUGCAUGCCCUCUAUUCCCUCUAGUAAUUAUCUACGGUUAUAUCCUCACUCGGACAGAAUUUUGUUAGCUCUAUGCUAAUUCUGUAUAAAUAAUGGUUACCAAUAUUCAUGUGAAGUUCUUAAAAGUCUUCUGUUGAGUCAAUUCUUGAGUAACGUAUAUAUACAAAUUUAGAGAAUCAUUACCUGUUCUUCUGUAGCCAUCUCUGCCUUGCUGUGAGGUGGCAAGAGGCAGUUUUCUUUAUGUUGGGUUGUUAUUCUGUUUUGCAGACUCAAAUAAGCAGCGUAUCAGUUACACGAAACCUCAGAUUUGACGCAGACCUCAUUGGUUGGCUGCCAAAGCCGUGGGGUUAGUUUGCUUAGUACACUCACUACAUAGUUUUUAGCUUUCUCUGCUGUGCUUUUCUCGCCUUUUUCUAUACAGAUCAAAUGUCUCAUACCUUAUCUGUUUUUUCUAAUUAUUUGCUAUCGCUGCAGUGCAGCGAUUUUAGACUGAUCUAAGCCCAGAUUAUGCUGUGGAAGACAGAUUCAUCAGAGGUUGCCUGAUCUAAGCCUAAUCUUCUACCCCUUUCAAGCACAGUUAGUGUUCGGAUGCCAGUCGGCGGAUGCAUCGGCCAAGCAUCAAUCAGUUCACUUCCAUCAGCAGGCUACGUUAGCACGGCGACUUCGUCGAGAUUGUUGGAUGGGUACCCACAGACUACGAAGCCCAAGAAACAAUGGGUAAACUCAAAGUCUGUAUAAUGUUGGUGAAAUUUGGGGACAUAAAUAAACUUAAGCAAGGCGAGUCGGCCAGGCAGUGGAUGACUAUCACCCCGCAGCAGCUAAGCAGGAAACGCUGGAUGGACCGCACCAUGCCGCCGUUUCCGUAUAUACAGAUGCAGAGCAAGAUGAAAGCUGCAGCCUCUCGUUCUGGCUACAUCGCAGAUUCAGAGAAAUAUUUGCUGGCUCUUAAUACGACACCUCAUAUUUGGCAAUAGUGACAACUUUAGAAAGACCUGUUGUUGGUGACGACGCUGAAUAGGUGCCAUCUGAUCCACGGCGUUCUUCGUGGCAAACACCGCAGCGCCGGACACGAGUCAGGUUUGAAGACCCUGUGUGCAUGCCUACGAGCUGCAGAUGCUUCAUGUGGCUAGCUGCCAAUAUUAGAUGCUGGACAGCGGAUAUGCUUCGACGCCGUGGGCUUUCAGCGACCAGCUGCCGGAGACGAUGUCACAUUUGCUGCUUGGCUUUGUCGUCGUGCGAGAGGUCUGGCAUUCCGUCCUCCACGAACGGCAGCAUAUGGAGUCGAUGUCUGACCACGACUAUAAGCUGAUUUACAUGGUGAACAACACAGUCAACGCGACGAAGGGAUGCAAGAGACAUGUGGAUAGCCGUCCUGUCUGGCAGUGCGGUGAAUGAUGUGAUCUUCAAUGACGUGGAGGUUUAAGGAGGCAUUGCUGUCUAUACCUACAAGAAGAGAAUGUGGACAUUUUUGUCUUGAGGAACUGGGUUUAGCUUUGACAGAUUUUGCUGUGCAACCGUGCCACUGUUCAACUCUGAGUAUAGUCUGUUGUCUGAACAAGUUAGCAGGAGCAUAGUCGGCACCAGAAGAUUUGGCAAAUAACUUCAGAAAUCUUGAUUGAACAUGGAUAUAUUAUUUCCUGGAAGGUAAGUCUAUAUAUUCAACAAGUUAGUAGCUGCAUGAUUGAUAAAGAGAUGUGGGCAUAUACUAUUGUUAUCCUGAUUCUAAGUUCUAGACAAUAUACUUCAACAGCUGGAGCCAUAUCAUUAUGUACAUAUAGCCACACUUCACACAUGCAAAUCAAGCUGUUUGGUUACUGCUCAGACAAGUCAGUCAAGCUCUUGCUCUACAACUAUGUCCCUGAUGGUAAUCUACAGGAGCUCCUCAGCGAGAACAGGAGCCUGGACUGGGAUUCAGGGUGGACACGGUCCGGGCCGGUCCGGUCCCUGACCGAGCCACCGUUUGGACCGGCCGCCGGCGGUCCGGACCGGACCGGACCGACCAGCCUCGCGGUCCUGGUUUCAAGGACCGGACCGGCGGCACUGAAGCCCGGGCCGGACCGAGCGGACCGGCCAACCACUACCAGCGACGACGUGCACGGGUGCACGGGUGCGCUGGCAAGGUGGGCGACGUGCGCACGACUGUGGCGAGAUGGGCGACAUGCGAUAGCGCGGGCGUCGAAGGGCGACCUGCUAUGGAAAGUGAUCUGGGUGGCGCGGCUGUUAGCCAUUAUUUUCUCUGUACCGUGAUGUUUCUUCCUUUGGCAGUUUUUCUACAGCAUGCAAGCAAUAUAGCACCUGCAUGAGCCCGUGAUUUUCUCUGUGAGGGCCUCGCCGUGAUUAGAGGAUCAAAUUGAACGUGGAGUUGAUCGUCAAAUGGCGCCGUGACUUUCGGAUCAGAUCCUUUUUCUCUCUUACUUUCUAUUUUCUGUUCGACUGAAACGGCAGCACGGGAUUGAUGGCGCGUGAUAAUAGGAAGAGGGCCCUAGUAUUAAAUCUUGGGCCUUCCAAAACAAUACUUUCCUGAUUUAUUGGAUGUGAAAAUCAUGACCGAGUAUUUCCCCCACGAUUCGAAAAUCACGAGAGAGUGUUUCUCCCACGAUUCGACUGGGCUGAAACGGCUGCUAUGGCACUUCGUCUGCACUGCAAAAAGCGUUGCCAUGGCAGGAAUUGCUGCCACGGUUGGGUCGAUGACAUGGUCGAGAACUCGAGAUCGGCGGCAGUUCACGCAUGGCAGCGAUGGCGAGCGGCAGCAAAAGGCUACGUCGCAAGGGUACGAGAGGAAGGAAGAAGAAGGGAAGCUCAUGGACAUGGUGGUUCAUCCAGGGGCUGCCGGUGGCCGCGAUGGCGAGGAACGGUGACUGCGGUGAUCGCGUUUUCUCGGUCCGCUCGGUCGGACCGGUUAAAGACCGGACCGGACCGAGAUUUUUUCGGGCCGAAUAUGGCAGCCCGGACCGCCCCUUUUCGCUAGCGGGCCAGGACCGAGCGGGCCAAGACCGAGCGGGCCACGAGCGGGCCAGAAAGACCGCUCGUUACGUCCACCUCCGACUGGGAUACACGGUACAAGAUCGUGGUCGGGGCAGCACUGAUACUCUACCGGGAUGUCAAGUGCGACAACAUCCCACAUAACCGACAUCAACACACAUACGAAAGUAAGCACGUCGAUAGAAAGUAAAGUCAUACAAGACCGAGCUUGCCCACAUGAAAAAAAAACCGAUGCCAUCGAAACAACGAUUGACAAAAUGCAACAACGACCUAAUUGAACCGGGUGCUUAUCUCCACUGAUCUUGGUUUCUCAGUUGGUUUUGCUGAUCAGGCAUGGUAUUGUUUGGGCAGACUGGGUGAUGAUGUAGAGGGUGGUUAAAGGGAGUGGAUUCGCGAAAGUGCUCUUCUGAUCCCGAGCUUCAUGUGAGCUCGGGUGAACAGUAAAUGGAAAAAAAAUCUGAUUUUUUUGUUCCAAACAUUGGCAAAUGUUUUCAUUGCUUGCAAAAUUUUAUCAUGAAAUGACAUUCUUGAAAUUUGUGUAAAAAAUGAUGCUCCAAAAUACUUUUGAAAAUGAAAUUGCUGCUCAUAACAAAGCUCCAAAUUAGGGAGGUAGAAAAAUAGAUUGCGGUGAGUGUGGAUCGAACACAUGACCUUCAGAUCUUCAGUCUGACGCUCUCCCAACUGAGCUAUCCCUGUUAUAGCCUGUUGUCUAGGUGCAUAGUCUGCACCGGAAGAUUUGGCAAAUGGCAUAGAAAUUCUUAUUGAACAUAGAUAUAUUGUUCUUGGAAGGAAAGUAUAUAUAUUCAACAAGUUAGUACCACCGGUUGCCCCAACACAUGUGCAUCUGUAGCACCAACAGCUGCUCAUCUGUUGUCAUGCCAUCUCGCAACGACUAUAUGCAUCUGUAGUAAUUCUGACAGAAGAAGCAAUACAUUUUUAUCAACAUGAAAUUUGUUUGGUAAAAUCCAUGAGAACUUCAUCAGUAACCAAUUGAUUGAUACCCCACAUAUGACAAGCAAGCGUGUUCCUUUCCAAAAAACUUCAAAAUGGACAUCACUUUUUCAUGAGUUCUUUCGGGAGUAAAGUAAGGUAAGGUCUUUGGUCACCAUUUACCUACCAUUUUAGUUAGUUCUACAUGUACAACUGAUUCAGCAACUCGAAAGGAAUUCUUUAAAAGGAAAUCAGUUAAGCAACUCGAAUGAAUCCAUCAUGCAUUGGUCUCAAAUCCAAGGAAAUAUGAGCAAAACCUCCCAAAUCUAAACAAAGCACCGAACAUCUUUCAGACGGAAAUUAACUCUUUCAGAACCUUUCAAAAGAUGACAUAUCAAGGAUCAAAAUCGACCACAUAGAUUGAUGACCAAGACUUUAUCCAUUAGUCUGGAUGCCUCAUAUGAUGAUAAUUCCAACCAUGGAACCACAGGUGUGGUGAUCCGUGAUAGCCCACGUACUCUUAUUCAUACACAUGCCCUCUGGUAUGAUUUUGCUGCUAGUCCAAUGGCGACGGAAGCUGUGGUGAUGUGCAAUGGAGUGCACAUGCCUCUUGAGAGGGGGUUAUGUAGAGUAAUGAUUUAGAGUGAUGCACAAGCUGUCAUCAAGCUAUGGGAGUCAUGCGGCUUUGAUCGAGAUUGCUGGAGCCUUGCGGAUUGAAGAACUGAGUGUGCAUUUUGAGAGUUCUAUGCCGAGCUUUGUUGGACAAGAUGCUAGUAUGGCAGCUCAUCUAUGUGCUAAACUGGUGGCCAAGUUUAGGAAGAGAUGUUUAUGGCUUAAUUUUACCCCUCUACUCCUAAUGAACAUAUUGCAUUGUGAUUGUAUGCUUGAUUAAGUAAGCAAUAAAGCUCUUCACUCACAAAAAAGGUAGAAAUUGCAAUGCGGCCAUCCCAGCAUAUCAAAACAUUUCUGGUUGUGGCGAUGACCUUUCUUUUCCAUAUGAUCCUACAAAAUGGACUGGGUUUCACUAUCAAGGGAUAACGAAACGACAAAUGCACAAAAACGUCCUGGUGCAAGAACAUAGCCUAAAACUGGUUUCAAUUGCUAACAACAAAAGCUAAUGGAUCCAAAUCUACUGCAAGUUGACUUGGGGUUCACAAUCAUCCCAAGCAAAAUGUUUUCGAUCACUAGCAUCAUCAUUCAGAAAACUCCAUUGCAUCGUUCCUCAUCCAUUCUUUCUCCAUUAGUUCACCUUCACCCACUUCUUGUUCCUCAUUUUCUCCAGCGUUACUCGCCUUGAUCUUCAACACAAGACUUCUUGGCUCCGCGCACCCACCAACAUGAUGUGCCAAUGCUUCUCGCUUCAAAGCAACAACACCUUGUUCCAGAAUCACACACUCUUCAUUAUUUUGUAGAUCUGCCCAAUAAAGCAUAAACAUGCAUGCAUAAUAGACGAAUUCAGCAAGAAAUCUAGUAAUUUUUUUCUCAAAACAAGAUCUAUUACAUAACUCGGAUGGGAAUGUAGUGGCUUAUCGUGAGGGUGAUGCACUCAUGGACUUGUAGUAGAGCUGGUAGCUGCCACGACAGCUUCCCUAUAUGUGGGUGGCCUUGAGGCAGGCGUCGUGGAGGGGCAUCUCUCCUCCAUCUCCUAUUAGGUCACAUCUAUGGAGUCCCUCAGCGUCUACCAUGACGUUGCUAUCAGGUCCCAUGGCUAUGGCUACUUCAAGUUCCACUCACAGAAUGAUGAUGAGAUCUGAUCUAUUAGAUCCCCAAAUACCUAAAGCAUU